rnacentral:lncRNA from 1 species
GCUCCUGCUGCAGUUGCUAGAUCCAUCAUCGGUCAUGCAUGCACCGCGUGCAUCAUAUCUUUGAUCGAUCCAUCCAUCUACUUACCAUGUAACGCUACCUGAUCGAGGGUCUUUGUAUGUAUGUACGCACCUGCCUGCAUGAGCAGAGCAGGUGCCAUGCCAUGCAUGUAAACCCCUAAAUAAAAUCUCCCGUGGUUUAACCUAUAUAAAUGCGUUUGUGUUAUAGACCAGCUUCUGGCCCACGUUUACUAUCAACUUGCAAGGUGCCUGGGUUGUUAAUAGACCAGCUGAAUGAGCUUCAGGUGCUACAUUCGUGAAAAGGACUCGUGGUUUAUAACGCAUAUUGUAGCCUACUAGCCACAUAUCAGCUGCGCUCAAUAUGCAGGAUUUCCAUUGGAUCAGAUCUUUCGCUUUGACGAAUUUGGACCUAGCGAAAAGGAUUCUUAAGCCUUCGCGCAAACAAGCAAAGUAGAAGCAAGACGAGGAAGUGGAGCUGUCGUAGAAGCAGUAGCUUCCCCCGACAAUAUACAAUACAACAGUAGCGACCAUGAAUAAAAAAGCCCCUUGUUUAACGAGUUCGCUGCUUUUCCCAGGCCGGAGAAGGGCAACUACUUAUUGAUUGAUCGCCUUUCUUUGAUAUGUGUUCAAUUUAGUAUAAUACAAACUACAACUAGAUCAAUGCGGAAGGGCCACUCACUAUAGAAGCUAUAACUAGAAAAGCCCUAGCCAAUAGUUUAGUAGUCGGCCAAACCCCCAUGCUCACGACAUGUUCUUGAUAUUGAUUGAGUUGGAGAGAGUCAGAGACUACCACGGAAUCCUUCCAUAGUCACCCCGGUGACCUUCGUCACCAAAGCGUCACAACAGUUUCCAAGACCCCUCAUAUAAUCUCCAGUGGGGAUCAGUCGGAGCACAUAAGAAUGCCGACCACUACAUAAGCCGCUGGCGGAGAAAGCUCGAAGAGCUUCCCUUCAUUCGCUUCGCGGGAGUCGCACACAGCACAUAGCUGGAAGUCAGAGGGCCCGUACUACCUGCCUAACCCUUCGCUCUGAGGGACCGUAGAACGGAAAGCGCCUUCUAAACAACUCGGCAGAAGGGAAGGGGCCUAUGUAUUUGCAUGACCCCUGCGGAUUUGACCCUACCUACACCCGGAGCCAACCCCCUAGCGGUCCUGCCACCACGCCGCAGAACAGGAGCUCGUGUGGAACCUUGGAUUUCUGGCAUAACAGUGAUGGAAGGUAUCAAAAUAUUACGGCUGCAUAACCAUAACAUAGUAUAUACGCUAAGGUCGGCCAAAAUAUGGACACCCGAAGGGCCCGGCGCGCACAAUCCUAUCCUAUCCGAGCCCGUCAUUGCAUGCACUUCGGACAGCCGUCCGUAGCAUCAUAAGGAGCACCUCCCUUUCGAGGUACCCAAAUGGAACGGUCUUUAUUUGUGUUGUUGGUUGAUCUUUCUCAACGUGGUCUAUAGCACGAAUAACCAUUCUUUACAAGAUAGGGCCGUUCACAUGAAAGAAAAUACAAAAUCCAUUCUUCAUGGUCAGACGCAUUUCUCCAAAUCCUCCAGGAUCACAAGUGGAACGCUAAGCAAGGGUGGGGAGGCUGCGAGCUCUGCGUCGAACAGAAAGAACCAAGCAGGGGGUGUUGCCGUAGCGCGACGGAGAGCAAGCGUAGGCAACCAAACUAAAUAAGGCUACAAAAGUAGCUAGCUAGCGUUUUUAAGCUAGCUGCCUUUUCUAGCGCGCGUACUCUUCUGUGGAGUCGCAAGGAACGAGCCUUGUCUUCCCUCCAACGACUAGCUCCCUUUUCUUAUUUCGGUCACCCUUCUCUUGUCGUGGAAGGACUUUUGCUUGUGGUGUGGUCCAACCCGUGGACGGAGUCGUCCUCAUCCCCCCAUUGCUCAGUGCUCCCUGCAGCUUCGCUGGGCUUUACCCGCGUGGGCGCGGGCUUCUAUAAGAGAAUGAAAAGCUCUCUUUUUACAAUAAAAUGCGAACCACACGGAGCCCACCCUUUUUCGUUUUUUGCCGCCACUGGGUGGCCACAGGGGAAACACAUCCCGGCCGCCUCUCGGGAAAGGGGGGUGGGCCUACCUAUCCCGAGGGAGCAGCUGAGAGGUUCAAUAUGCCGAGCCGAAGGGCAGAACUUCAAUGUGUGAUCAUAGUAUGUCACCUCGUCUCGUCCUCGCAGCAUCGAAGAGUACCUAUGCACUAUGUUCGGUUCACUGAUAAGGAAGAUAGAGUUGGGGUGGGGGUCUACGAUGUGAUUCUAUAGUAUGCCCCGGGGAGAAAGAUGCACAACUCAAAACGGAAGCAGGAAGCGUGUUGUCAAAAAUGUUGGAGGUUACCGGAUCUCCGAGACUACUAUCGAUCCGACAGAGCGGAACGACCAGAAAAAGAAGUGGAGUUAGAAAGCCGUAUGAUAGGUGGUAACUAUCUUGUACGGUUCGGGGGGUAAGCGGCGUACUCUGGGGGAAUAUUAGGCUCUAUCGACCAUACAGGGAAUUGGAGGUAGCAUUUUACUUAUGUUAAGUCAUGGACUGGUUUCUUCAGCCCUUUUUCUAUGUGUUGGUGUUCUAUAUGACCGACAUAAACUCGACUUGUGAGAUAUUAUGGAGGUUUAGUGAGCACCAUGCGGAAUUUCUCUACCAUUUUCUUAUUUUUCACUUUAGCCAAUAUGAGUUUACCUGGCACUAGCAGCUUUAUCGGGGAAUUUCUAAUCUUAGUAGGAGCUUUCCAAAGAAAUGGCUUAGUAGCCACAUUAGCUGCGCUUGGGAUGAUUUUAGGCGCAACAUAUUCCCUUUGGCUAUAUAAUCGUGUGGUUUCUAGAAAUUUAAAACCCGAUUUCCUCUAUAAAUUCUCCGAUCUAAUUGGUAGAGAAGUUUCCAUAUUUCUACCUUUUCUUGUUGGAGGGGCGACCGUCCGUUGAACUACCAAAAAAUGGUAAACCAAUGUGAUCAUGACAUUGUAGGUGCUUGCGAUGGGACGGAUGUGACUUCCCUCAUAAGUAAUGGGUGGCAUAGCUCGUAGCAGAAGUCCCCUUUUUUAUCCAUUUCUUUAUUACCCCAGAGGGGCCAAGCCUUGCGGGACCGAGAGAAAGAAAGGACGGGGGGCGACCAUGCAUGGCACUUCUCGACCGUGUCUCCGAGGAACAGUUGAACGAGCGACUCAUGAAUGCUACCGGGUCGGACGAGCCAAUAACUCGAACGUGUUCGGUCAUUUUUUUGAGAAAGAAUCACAGUGUUACCUUACCUUCACCAUGAUACGGACUCCAAGUUCUUAUGGCAGAGCACGAGGAGUUUCCUUCAAUAUGAUGAUGAGAGUGGAAACCAGAAGCACGACUGGGUCUUCGUAGUCCGAGAUCAUACUUAUAUAUCAGUCACAGUAAUGUAAGCAUGAGAAUUUUUGGUAGUACCGGUGAACCAGAUGGCCACAGCGAGGGAAUCUGGGACGGAGGACUCGUAAUAUCUCUAUAGAUCUGGCAAAAGCGAAAGACCCUAACAUCAGGGGCUGACCAAUGAGCUCACUCAGGCCCCGCUGGGCGGUCCAGAGUGGGUGCGAGCUGGAAUUGCCAUAGCUUAUGGUUAGAGCAAUAGGAAAGGGCCCGGCAGAGAGAACAGUCAGGAUAACGAGCGUGGAGCCCACUUGGCAGGCGGCAGGAGCAGCGGGCAAGUGCUUGCUUGGUAGGCCAACAGCCCUGUGAACCGGGCGGGGCACUCGACGAAAGGGGGGCAUGCUGAGCAAGUACGCAAAAUUGGCCCUGUGGAGCUUUCAAAAAGAAAAGCAAGGACCACUACGGGAGGUCGAACCACGGACCGGAGGUAGUAGAACGUAAUCCGCACCGGUCAAUAUUGGAUCAAACAAUAGGGGACCGUAGCACUGACCUUUUUUUCAAGACAAUAGGUAUUGUUCCCUACCAACACAAGGGACACUCUCGACGGAUCCUCCACGCGCUGGGCAUACCAUAGUUCUUCCGUUCGUCUUUAUCAUGGCGGAAACAGAACAAGAGGGAAAGACCCGGCCGACUCACCAAGGGCUCGAGGGCGAGCCAUACGAGAGUGAGUCGAAUUCUGUUUACGUACUCGGUUUGGGUUCGGUCCCCUCUCGAUCUUUUGUGUAUAAGGGAAGGGGGAAGGAGUCUAAAUCUAUGGACAUUAAUGAACCACCAUUGAUGGACGUUGCACAUGACACAAGAAAUUUGACUCGACGAUCCGGUGCUAAUAGAAGUCGCUUACUCUCCGCCUAGCGAAGGUGCCAGAUCCUUAAAGUAAAGUAUCUAUCAGCCUAGUGUACCAACCACGUGGUAUGACGGGCACUCAAAGACCUGACGAAUGAGGGGCCACCCCACCUAAGAGCGCUUAUGUCAUAUGGGAACUCUCGGCUGGAAACAAUCCUUAUGGUUUUUAUAUCCGGUUAGAAUAAUAAGAAAGAAUCAAAGUCCAUGUUGGUUGGUGAGCCUAGUGAUAGGACACUAUCUAGCUUGGUUCGGAGAGCACUUGUUGGGUUUCAGAUUCGUUUUUUGCUAAAUGUUACGGCCCAAAUGCUGAACUAUUGACCCUACUUGUUCGGAUGGGUGUUCACCCCAAAGUGUUCCCGGACUGCAUGCAUACAUCCUUAAGUAACUUAGUGCAACAUGGCAAAUUUCAUUGAGAAGAAUCAGCAAACAAAAUAAAUCUUCUCCGGGUGACAGGGCCGCUUCGUUAAUAGAUCAUGCAUAUUGUCGAGUUUUGUGUUUUAUAGCGCAAGAUUUUGUUUUUACAAAAGGUGGAUCCCAACAAGACACGAUGGUAUGCGUAUCUUGUAGUCUAUCUGUCUUCUUGAGAAAAUACAUUAAUGUCUCAUGGUGUAGUAGGUUAUCACGUCAGUCUAACACACUACAUGGCGAAGCCAAAUUGUUAUUGUUUUUUUUCCUGCAAAACUACAAAAUGCACCAAUAAAUCUUUGUCAUUUGCUAGUUUCCCAUUCUCGCGACUCUUAAUAUGAAGCCCAUGAAGACAUUAAAGAUAGCGGUGGACAGCUAAGGGCCUAAGGCCCAAGGGCGACUUAGUGCCCGUAGGUAUAAACCGCCAUAUAUGUAAAACGUGUAUUGUAAGGCAUGUAAAGAUAGUCACUGAGUCGGACACGUUGUCUAUGAGCCAUCCGGGACUCUAUGAUCCGCUGGGCGUCGACCUGUCUAUAUAAAGGGACGACCCGGCGGCGGUUCAGGACAAGAAACAAGAGAUCGAAAGCUAGGUCAAGCAGAUUUGCUCCCUGAUAAUCGAGACAUAAGCAAUGCCACCCAAAAACUGGAUUGUAGGCUUUUACCUUCACCAUAAGGGGCCGAACCAGUAUAAACCCUGUGUCCUUUGUCCCAUUUAACCCCUUUAAGCUAACCUAGAGGCGAUGGCUCCACGACUAAGUCCUUUCACGAGGACAUUUGUCGUGACUAUUCCACGACAGCUCUCCUCCCGAUGAGCACGUGCAGGGGUCUGAUUGCAUGCCUCCCGUAAUCAAAUAGCUACCCCACAUGGCACCUCCUAGCCAAUAAAAAAAGGGACGCGUGGUGGCACGUCAUUGGUAAGUAGAACGCCCACGGUUUCAAUAAUAGUUGUGUUUCCGAUUUGUAACGUGACAACACUUGUUCCAAAAUGACUUUGUUGAUUUUUAAUGUGUGCGUCUUCGCAAAUCGGACAGAAAAAUUACCACAGCAUGUUGGUGCCAUGUCAUGACACCAUGCCAAGUUUCAUGAUUUUCAGGCAUGUUUUGGACACCAUGCCAAGUUUCAUGAUUUUCAGACGUGAUUUUCAUGCAUGUUUUGGACACCAUGCCAAGUUUCAUGAUUUACCGCAGAAUGUUGGUGUCAUCAUGACACCAUGCCAAGUUCCAUUAGUGCCGGUUCCAACGGCUAGCCGGGAGGAGCUCUUUAGUACCGGUUCGUGGCAAACCUUUAGCACCGGUUCGUGCCACGAACCGGUACUAAUGAGAGUGGUGGCAGGAUCAUGUCAGAGUGGGGCCCUUCCAGCACCUUUAGUAUCGGUUCGUGGCACGAACCGGUACUAAAGGUCGUCCUAUAUAAACCCUUCGUCCACCCGCACUCUGUUCUUCCCCCUUUCCCCUCUCCCUCUCCUCUAUUCUUCCCUUCUUCCUCUCGAGUUCAUCACAAAAUUUGCCCCAAAUUUGUCAAGAUUUGCAGGCCCUCAUCCAUUCAAAUGAUCACCAAGGUUAGCAACUUUGUCCUUUCAUCUCUCAUUGCUAGAUUAGCUCUUGCAUUGGUUUAUAUAGUGAUUAAUUGUGGGUUUUAGUAAUUUGGGAGGAAUAAUAUGUGGUAGUAUUUGAUUUAUAUGCAAUUUGAGUUCAAAAUAACACUUAGUUUGCAUAUGUAGGUGUGGUUUACUUAGUGCCUUCUAAAUCUCCGUCGUAACCACCGUCGAUCGCCCACACCAUCCCGUCGCCGGCACCACCUUGUGGUGAGCCUCUUGUUCAUGAAAUUUUAUAUAAAAAAUUGAUGUUUGUGUGAUUUGGAUAUAUAGUUACUCGUAUAAUAAUUAUCUUGCAUGUACGUUGUCUGUUAUACAUAGUGCCAUGGUUUUGAUAUCCGUCCCCGUCGGCCCUCGUCCUUGUUAUGAUUCGGAUGUGUUAUAUUCUCUUUUAAAACUAUUUGUUGCAUUUCGUGUUUAUGACAAAUUAUGCCCAUCAAGUUGACAUAGAUAUUUUUAUCUAGGAGGUAUGUGAACCGGAAAUUCCAACCGACCCUAUUGUCUAGAGGUUAAAUUUAGUUGGAAGAGAAAACGAGUACUUGAAAGAAAAUUUGAAAAGAAUUGAGGGAGAGAAGAUGGAAUUAGAGUUGCAUGUUGCCGAUGUCGUCGAUGAUCACAAGAUCAAGAUGGAGAAAAUGCGCUUGAAGAUUAGAAAGAUUAGAAAAUAUGCCAUCGAUAGUGAGGCUUGGUAUCAUUAUGCUGUUGGAUCAAUUGUUACCUUAGUUGCGAUCUUGAUCGCAUUUGUUGUUGCAUUUAAAUGCUUUAGCUGGAGAGUUAUUUGUUUGUUGCAUUUAAGUGUUGUAUGAACUUGUAUUAAUUUGGUCUAUUCGGUGUUGUGUAAUGAAGAUGAGCCGGCAAUGGAUGUACGAUGACCGAUGCUCUCCCCAGUUCAUUGAGGGCGUGCAUACUUUUCUGCUUGUGGCUGAGGCAAACAAGCGGGCGGAUGGUUUUAUGCCUUGUCCAUGUGCUGGCUGUAAGAAUGGUCGCAAUUACUCUACGUCAAGAACCAUUCACGUCCACCUGUUUGAGUCCGGUUUCAUGCCCCACUAUAAUGUUUGGACCAAGCAUGGAGAAAGAGGGGUCAUGAUGGAAGACAAUGAAGAAGAAGAGGACGACGACAGCUAUCCUGGCCAUGGGUUCCCUGAAUACGAUGAUACAACAAUGGGGGAAGAAGCUGAGCCGGUAAUGCGGGAAGAAGCUGAGCCGGCAAUGCGGGAAGAAGCUGAAGAAGAGGCAUCAGAUGAGCCCGUUGAUGAUCUAGGUCGGGCCAUUGCCGAUGCAAAGAGAAACUGCGCAAGUGAUUUGGAGAAGAAGAAGUUGCAGCGCAUGUUAGAGGAUCACAAAAAAUUGUUGUACCCGAAUUGCGUAGGUGACAAGAAAAAGCUGGGCACCACACUGGAAUUGCUGCAAUGGAAGGCAGAGAAUGGUGUAUCUGACAAGGGAUUUGGAAAGUUGCUGGUAAUGAUAAAGGAUAUGCUUCCAAAGGACAACGAAUUGUCCGAGAGUACAUACGAAGCAAAGAAGGCUGCCUGCCCUCUAGGGUUAGAGGUGCAGAAGAUACAUGCAUGCCCUAAUGAUUGCAUCCUCUACCACGGUGAGCACGAGGAUUUGAACGCUUGCCCGGUAUGUGGUGCAUUGCGCUAUAAGAUCAGCCGCGAUGAGCAUGGUGAUGUCGAGGGCGAGCGCCCCAGGAAGAAGAUUCCUGCCAAGGUGAUGUGGUAUUCUCCUAUAAUACCAUGGUUGAAACGUUUGUUCCAAAACAAAGAGCAUGCCAAGGCGAUGCGAUGGCACAGAGAAGACCGUAAGAAAGACGGAAAGUUGAGAGUACCCGCUGACGGGUCGCAGUGGAGAAAAAUCGAAAGAAAGUACGGGAAGGAGUUUGCAGAUGACGCAAGGAGCGUAUGUUUGGUCUAAGCGCAGAUGGCAUUAAUCCUUUUGGGGAGCAGAGCAGCAACCAUAGCACCUGGCCUGUGACUCUAUGUUUGUAUAACCUUCCUCCUUGGUUGUGCAUGAAGAGGAAGUUCAUCAUGAUGCCAGUGCUCAUCCAAGGCCCUAAGCAACCCGGCAACGACAUUGAUGUGUACCUAAGGCCAUUAGCUGAGGCAAACAAGCGGGCGGAUAGCACCAACCCAUCCAUGCCGAGAAGAAGCGUGGGUUCGGCCGCCCCGGACGAUGCAAUGCUGGGUAGAUACCCCGUGGAUGACAUCACGGAGAACACUAACUGCGAGCUACACGUCAAAAUAACGAACAUAUCCAUCAAGGUGGCGGACGCCGUUGCUUUUACAAAUCCCCCCGAGGCAACCUUCCAUUGCAACCCGAUUCCAGCGGGCUAUGCUCGUGUCUUGGUUGAUGAGGUGGUGGACCCACCAUAUUCGGAGCUACAGCUUGACAUUCCUGGAGGUGACGACGAGCACUUUCUCGGAGAGGCCAAACAUCGUAUCAUCCUAUGGAAAAAGGAUUGUAUCAUCUUUCGAAGGCCACCGACACCGCGUCAGCUGACUCCUCGUCGAAGUCCGCCACCGAGUCAGCAGUCUCCCGCUCCUGCAAGUCCACCAAGUCCGGCAAAGUGUCAGGCCACUCCUCCUCCAAGUCAGGCAAAGUGUCAGGCCACUCCUCCUCCUCCAAGUCCGCCACAGCGUCAGACGUCCACUCCUCCUCCAAGUCCGGCACAACCUCAGGCCACUCCUCCUCCAAGUCCGGCACAGCUUCAGGCGGCCACUCCUCGUCCAACUCAGUUCCGUCAGCCGUCUCCGCCGCCUCAGCAAUCGCAGAAGAGAUACCCCGCAGCUAUGGUGCGUAGCGGUACGAGUCGAGGUAGUACAGGAAGUACAGGGGGAGGCAAGCGAUAUAAAUAUGGUCCAAGCCUCACACCUCUUCAGCAGAGGGCUUAUGACAGGUCCGAGGAGGAAAUCUCAGCCAUAUCGAAGGCCGAGGUGGAAGUCCAUUUUGCACCGAAACCGCCACCGCCGCCAAGGGAGAAAGUGCCUGAGGAAACGAUUGACCACUUCAUUCGUAUGGCUCAACCACCAGCUCCCAAGCCUGUUGACACAGACUAUGAGCGCCACAUCAGGAAGUUAAAUCGAGCACGUCUACGUCAGGAGGCGAGCUCGGGAUCGAGCAAACAAGAAGCAGCUGUCAAAAAAUGCGGGAAAACCAUUCCCCAGCUGGGAGAACAGGCGGCGCAAUCGAUCCCCUCACUUGUUGUGCCAACAACACAUGACAGUAUGCGCGCCCAAUAUUAUCGUGGGCAAACAGUUUACGUUCCUGAGGUGGGCAAUGUGGUAAUAACGGAGGAGCAUAUAAUGCAGGCUGAAGUUCUCAAAAUCACUGUUGGACAACUCCUCGAGAUCGAGCCCAUGCCUGUGCUUAGAGAGGAUGAAAUAAAACGGAAAUAUGUCCGGGGCCAACCUUUGGUCGAGCCAGACAAGGUCAAGAACCUCCCAACGAGAAUGUAUGAAUUGCAUCAAUGGUACAUGAACAUUACCAAGAUUUCAGAUCGAUUGUCCCUCAUGGUGAAUGUCAAGGAGGAUCAUUACUUUCAUGAGAAAGCUUUGUCCGUUGAGUAUUCUAAACUGUUUCGGUUAUACAAUCAAGACGCACUCGACAAAUCUAUCGUCAGUUGCUAUUGUCUGUAAGUGAUUUCUUUCUGUAAUUUUACGUCUCAAGCUAGCUGUAGUGAUCCUUUUGAUCAAUCAUUACCUGUAAUUAUCCUUACUAUAUUCUUUUCUGUGGUAUUAUGCAGGAUGAAGAUGUAUGAAAUGAGAAAAGGUGGACGCUAUGGCAUUGGGUUCAUUGACCCAAACACCGUUAAUGAAUACACAUGGCGGAUAAAUCCACAUCAUCAAAAGGACGUAGAGGACAACAUGCUAGAGUUCUUAAAGCGCCUCAAAUACAAUAAAAAUAUACUACUUCCUUACAACUUCCAGUGAGUCACACUGUCUUGUACUACAAAUUCGCUGUUUUUGCCUACUAGCUAGCUACAUGUUUUUGCUUACAUAUGCCCGCUUAAUUAAAACAUGCAAACGUGUGUGCAUGCAGAUUUCACCGGGUCUUGUGCAUCAUUAAAGUUGACGCCGGAACAGUUGAAAUACUGGACUCACUACUCAAAGUUAAAACUGACUAUAACAUCUUGUUUGGGAUAGUCAACAGGUAAUUUCAAUCAUUAUUAACUAUAUAUCUCGGCCUAUUUAGUUCGUCAUUUCAUGAUAUGAACUAUUUAAUAACCCCUUUAUUCAUUUUCUUUGUCGGCGGGCAGGGCUUGGGCAAGGUUCAUCAGCAUCACGGAUGGCGAAUGGAAAAAAAAGCUUCAAUGGUUUCGACCCAAGGUAAGUAAUUAAGUAGUACUAGCUAGCUGGCUAGCUGCCAUCUCUUUAAUUAUCAUGCUUGGUUAAUUAUUAUCUGAUCAAAUUCCAUUCUCGUAAAGACCCUGAAGCAGGCGCAGGGGACUGAUCUAUGUGCAUUCUGCGUUUGCGAGAACAUUCGCAUGAUGGCGUCCGAAAGGAGCAGAUCUCAAAGACAGGAAUGGGUACGCUUGUCAGAACACUAUUCACAAUUUUUACACUAUUAUCGAUAUCUAGUCACACAACUAAUACACAUGCAUAUUGAUCUCCUUCUUAACCGUUCAGAGAGGUGCGGGAGAAGCUCCUAGAAACGGAGCGCAUAGAAGCACUUCAAGAGGAAAUAGCGGGAUUUUUGCUCGACCAGGUCAUAAAUCCGAAGGGAGAAUACUAUUACCCGCUACCGCCCCCAUGAAAACCACUUCCAAUUGUCAUCGUGCUCCGAAGGCACCAAUUAGGCUAAUGCCACUGGCUCCGAAGGCAACAUGCAUAUGUAGGAGAAAUUGUAUAUAGCUAGCUAUACAUUUGUGUAUGUGUGAAUUAAUUAAUAUGGUGGUUUGUGAGACAUUGAUGAUAUAUAUAUGCAUGAUUGGUUCUACUAGAAAUUCUAUUUAUAUAUAUAUAUAUAUAUAUAUAUAUAUAUAUAUGCAUAACGUGUAUAAUGUGUAGUAUCGUAAAAUACCAGCAAACGAAAAAGAAUUAAAAUGGAAACACAAAAUUAAAUGAAAAAGAAAUAAUAAAACUAAAAAAACCCCAAACCUUAUGCCACGUGGUUGCCCUUUACCACCGGUUCGUGCUGAACUGGUACUAAAGGGGGGGGCCUUUAGUGCCCACACUUUAGUGUCGGUUAUGGAACCAGCACUAAAGGGCCUUACGAACCGGUGCUAUUACCCGGUUCUGCACUAGUGUUGGUUUUGCUUAUUGAAUGCUCAUAUUGGAAAAGUUCUCCUUCAUUCCCGUGUGCUAGACAAUUUGGUGUAAUAAUGCACUCGGGAAUGAAAGGAGGAGCUACGUACAUCACUGAUAGUCAACCCGUGAUUAAUAAUAAUGAUCUAGUUUAAUAUUUGAAUUAUGAACAUAGGCCGGAAAUGUCGUACUCGGACGAUGAAAACCGCCCGGGGGAGUGCGACUGGUGCCACGACGACCGAGGUAUGUGCGACAGGUUCAUUGAGCUGGACGAAGAUCGACGCUUCAGCAUUAAGCUCGAGGAUACCUUCGAUGUUCAUACGGUACGCAACGACGACAAUAGUUUUUUUCUUAAUUAAGCACGACUUUAACUAUUUUAACGUGUAUUUUUCAUCUUUUCCAAUUUGACUAGCUUAUCCCAUGCUAUGCAAGACGCUAUGUCUUGGAGAGGAUGAAGGAAAUAUGCCCUAGAGGCAAUAAUAAAGUUAUUAUUUAUUUCCUUAUAUCAUGAUAAAUGUUUAUUAUUCAUGCUAGAAUCGUAUUAACCGGAAACAUAAUACAUGUGUGAAUACAUAGACAAACAUAGUGUCACUAGUAUGCCUCUACUUGACUAGCUCGUGAAUCAAAGAUGGUUAAGUUUCCUAGCCAUGGACAAAAGAGUUGUCAUUCGAUUAACGGGAUCACAUCAUUAGGAGAAUGAUGUGAUUGACUUGACCCAUUCCGUUAGCCUAGCACUUGAUCGUUUAGUAUAUUGCUAUUGCUUUCUUCAUGACUUAUACAUGUUCCUGUAACUAUGAGAUUAUGCAACUCCCGUUUAUUGGAGGAACACUUUGGGUGCUACCAAACGUCACAACGUAACUGGGUGAUUAUAAAGGAGUACUACAGGUGUCUCCAAAGGUACAUGUUGGGUUGGCGUAUUUCGAGAUUAGGUUUUGUCACUCCGAUUGUCGGAGAGGUAUCUCUGGGCCCUCUCGGUAAUGCACAUCACUAUAAGCCUUGCAAGCAAUGUGACUAAUGAGUUAGUUGCGAGAUGAUGUAUUACGUAACGAGUAAAGAGACUUGCCGGUAACGAGAUUGAACUAGGUAUUAGAUACCGACGAUCGAAUCUCGGGCAAGUAACAUGCCGAUGACAAAGGGAACAACGUAUGUUGUUACGCGGUUUGACCGAUAAAGAUCUUCGUAGAAUAUGUAGGAGCCAAUAUGGGCAUCCAGGUUCCGCUAUUGGUUAUUGACCAAGAAUAGUUCUAGGUCAUGUCUACAUAGUUCUCGAACCCGUAGGGUCCGCACGCUUAAGGUUUCGAUGACAGUUAUAUUAUGUGUUUAUGAGUUUUGAUGUACCGAAGGAGUUCGGAGUCCCGGAUGAGAUCGGGGACAUGACGAGAAGUCUCGAAAUGGUCGAGACGUAAACAUCGAUAUAUUGGACGACUAUAUUUGGAGUUCGGAAAGGUUUCGAGUGAUUCGGGUAUUUUUCGGAGUACCGGAGAGUUACGGGAAUUCGCCGGGGAGUAUAUGGACCUUAUUGGGCCAUACAGGAAUAGAGGAGAGAGGCCAAAAGGAAGGAGGCCUGCGCACCCCCUCUGGUCCGAAUUGGACAAGGGGCGCAGCCCCCCUUUCCUUCUUCCUCUCCCCCUCUUUCCCCUUCUCCUACUCCAACAAGGGAGGUGGAAUCCUACUAGGACUAGGGAGUCCUAGUAGGACUCCACACUUGGCGCGCCCCCUCCUAGGGCCGGCCUCCUCCCCCCUUGCUCCUUUAUAUACGGGGGCAGGGGGGCACCCCAUGACACACAAGUUGAUCUACGUGAUCGUUCCUUAGCCGUGUGUGGUGCCCCCCUCCACUAUAUUCCACCUUGGUCAUAUCGUCGCGGAGUUUAGGAGAAGCCCUGCGCCGGUAGAACAACAUCAUCGUCACCAUGCUGUCGUGCUGACGGAACUCAUCCCCGACACUUUGCUGGAUCGGAGUCCGGGGAUCGUCAUCGAGCUGAACGUGUGCUGAACUCGGAGGUGCCGUACGUUUGGUACUUGGAUCGGUCGGAUCGUGAAGACGUACGACUACAUCAACCGCGUUGUCAUAACGCUUCCGCUUACGGUCUACAAGGGUACAUGGACAUUACUCUCCCCUCUCGUUGCUAUGCACCACCAUGAUCUUGCGUGUGCGUAGGAAAUUUUUUGAAAUUACUACAUUUCCCAACAGUGGCAUCCGAGCCUAGGUUUUAUGUGUUGAUGUUAUAUGCACGAGUAGAACACAAGUGAGUUGUGGGCGAUACAAGUCAUACUACUUACCAGCAUGUCAUACUUAAUUUGGUUCAGCGGUAUUGUUGGAUGAAGCAGCCCGGACCGACAUUACACGUACGCUUACGCGAAACUGGUUUUACCGCCGUGCUUUGCACACAGGUGACUAGCGGGUGUCUGUUUCUCCAACUUUAGUUGAACCAAGUGUGGCUACGCCCGGUCCUUGAGAAGGUUAAAACAACAUUAACUUGACGAACUAUCGUUGUGGUUUUGAUGCGUAGGUAAGAACGGUUCUUGCUCAGCCCAUAGCAGCCACGUAAAACUUGCAACAACAAAGUAGAGGACGUCUAACUUGUUUCUGCAGGGCAUGUUGUGAUAUGGUCAAGACGUGAUGAGAUAUAAGUUGUUGUAUCAGAUGAUCAUGUUUUGUUGAAGUUAUCGGCAACUGGCAGAAGCCCUAUGGUUGUCUCUUUGUUACAUAAGAUGCAAGUGCCAAAUAAUUGCUUUACUUUAUCGCUAUACGAUAGCAAUAGUUGCAAGAGCAAUAGUUGGCGAGACGACCAUGUGACGACACAUUCAUAUAGACCAAGAUGAUGAAGAUCAUGGCAUCGUGCCGGUAACGAUAGAGAUCAUGACAGUACUUUGGAGAUGGAGAUCACAAGCACAAGAUGAUGAUGGCCAAUAUCAUAUCACUUAUAUUGAUUGCAUGUGAUGUUUAUCUUUUAUACAUCUUAUUUUGCUUAGUUUGACGGUAGCAUUUUAAGAUGAUUUCUCACUAAAUUAUCAAGAAGUGUUCUCCCUGAGUAUGCACCGUUGCGAAAGUUCUUCAUGCUGAGACACCAUGUGAUGAUCGGGUGUGAUAGGCUCUACGUUCAAAUACAGCGGGUGCAAAACAGUUGCACACGCGGAAUACUCAGGUUAAACUUGACGAGCCUAGCAUAUAACAGAUAUGGCCUCGGAACACGAAGACCGAAAGGUCGAGCGUGAAUCAUAUAGUAGAUAUGAUCAACAUAUUGAUGUUCACUGUUGAAACUACUCCAUCUCACGUGACGAUCGGACAUGGUGUAGUUGAUAUGGAUCACGUAAUCACUUAGAGGAUUAGAGGGAUGUCUAUCUAAGUGGGAGUUCUUAAGUAAUAUGAUUAAUUGAACUUUAAAUUUAUCAUGAACUUAGUCCCGGUAGUAUUUUGCAAAUUAUGUUGUAGAUCAAUAGCUCGCGUUUUUGCUUCCCUAUGUUUUUAUAUGUGUUCCUAGAGAAAAACUAAGUUGAAAAGAUGUUAGUAGCAAUGAUGCGGACUUGGUCCGUGAUCUGAGGUUUAUCCUCAUUGCUGCACAGAAGAAUUAUGUCCUUGAUGCACACGCUAGGUGACAGACCUAUUGCAGGAGCAGAUGCAGACGUUAUGAACGUUUGGCUAGCUCAAUAUGAUGACUACUUGAUAGUUUUAUGCACCAUGCUUUAUGGCUUAGAACCGGGACUACAAAAACGUUUUUGAAACGUCAUGGAACAUAUAAGAUGUUUCAAGAUAUGAAAUUGGUAUUUCAGACUCAUGCCCGUGUCAAGAGGUAUGAGACCUCUGAGAAAUACUUCGCCUAAAAGAUGGAGGAGAAUUGCUCAACUAGUGAGAAAGUACUUAGAUUGUCUGAGUACUACAAUCACUUGAAUCGAGUGGGAGUUAAUCUUCCAGAUAAGAUAGUGAUUGGCAGAGUUCUCUAGUCACCAUCACCAAGUUACUGGAACUUCGUGAUGAACUAUAAUGCAAGGGAUGACGAAAACGAUUCCUGAGCUCUUCGUGAUGCUGAAAUCGAUGAAGGUAGAAAUCAAGAAAAGAGCAUCAAGUGUUGAUGAUUGACAAGACCACUAAUUUCAAGAAAAGGGUAAAGGGAAAGAAAGGGAACUUCAACUAGAAUGACAAGCAAGUUGUCACUCCCGCGAAGAAGCCCAAAGCUGGACCAAAGCCUGAAACUGAGUGAUUAUACUGCAAAGGAAAUGGUCACUAGAAGCAGAAAUGCCCUGAAUAUUUGGUGGAUAAGAAGGAUGGCAAAGUGAACAAGGGUACAUUUGAUAUACAUGGUAUUGAUGUGUACUUUACUAGUGUUUAUAGUAGCCCCUGAGUAUUUGAUACUUGUUCAGUUGCUAAAAUUAGUAACUUGAAAUAGGAGUUACAGAAUAAACAGAGACUAGUUGAGGGUGAAGUGACGAUGUGUGUUGGAAGUAGUUCCAAGAUUGAUAUGAUCAUCAUCACACUCUCCCUACACUUUCGAGAUUAGUGUUGAACCUAAAUAAAUGUUAUUUGGCUUUGCGUUGAGCAUGAAUAUGAUUUGAUCAUGUGUAAUGCAAUACGGUUAUUCAUUUAAAGUCAGAGAAUAAUUGUUAUUCUGUUUACAUGAAUAAAGCCUUCGAUGGUCAUACACCCAAUGAAAAUAGUUUGUUGGAUCUCGAUCGUAGUGAUACACAUAUUUCAUAAUAUUGAUGCCAAAAGAUGCAAAGUUGAUAAUGAUAGUGCAACUUAUUUGUGGCACUGCCAUUUGGGUCAUAUCGGUGUAAAGCGCAUGAAGAAACUCCAUACUGAUGGGUUUUUGGAAUCGCUUGAUUAUGAAUCAUUUGAUGCUUGCAAACCGUGCCUUAUGGGCAAGAUGAGUAAAACUCCGUUCUUCAGAACAAUGGAACGAGCUACUGACUUGUUGGAAAUAAUACAUACUGAUGUAUGCGAUUCAAUGAGUAUUAAUGCUCGUGGCGAGUAUCGUUAUUUUCUGACCUUCACAAGAUGAUUUGAGCAGAUAUGAGUAUAUCUACUUAAUUAAGCACAAGUCUGAAACAUUUUAAAAGUUCAAAGAAUUUCAGAGUGAAGUGAAGAAUCAUCGUAACAAGAAAAUAAAGUUUCUGUGAUUUGAUCACGGAGACAAAUAUCCGAGUUACGAGUUUGGCCUUCAUAUAAAACAAUGUGGAAUAGUUUCACAGCUCAUGCCACCUGGAACACCAUAGCAUUAUGGUGUGUCCAAACGUCGUAACCGCACUUUAUUGGAUAUGGUGCGAUCUAUGAUGUCUCUUAUCGGUUUACCACUAUCGUUUUGGGGUUAUGCAUUAGAGACAGCUGCAUUCACGUUAAAUAGGGUACCAUCUAAAUCCGUUGAAACGACACCGUAUGAACUAUGGUUUGGCAAGAAACCAAAGUUGUCGUUUCUUAAAGUUUGGGGCUGCGAUGCUUAUGUGAAAAAGUUUCAACCUGAUAAGCUCGAACCCAAAUCGGAGAAGUGCGUCUUCAUAGAAUACCCAAAGGUAAAUAUUGGGUACACCUUCUAUCACAGAUCUGAAAGCAAGUUUCGUUGCUAAGAUGGAUCCUUUCUAGAGAAGAAGUUUCUCUCGAAAGAAGUGAGUGGGAGGAAAGUAGUACUUGAUGAGGUAAUUGUACCUUCUCCCUUAUUGGAAAGUAGUUCAUCACAGAAAUCAGUUCCAGUGAUUCCUACACCAAUUAGUGAGGAAGUUAAUGAUGAUGAUCAUGAAACUUCAGAUCAAGUUGCUACCAAACCUCGUAGGUCUUCCAGAGUACGAUCCGCACCAGAGUGGUACGGUAAUCAUAUUCUGGAAGUCAUGUUACUAGACCAUGAUGAACCUACGAACUAUGAGGAAGCGAUGAUGAGCCCAAAUUCCACGAAAUGGCUUGAGGCCAUGAAAUCUGAGAUAGGAUCCAUGUAUGAGAACAAAGUAUGGACUUUGAUUGACUUGCUCGAUGAUCAGCAAGCCAUGUUAAAUAAAUGGAUCUUCAAGAGGAAGACGGACACUGAUAGUAGUGUUACUAUCUACAAAGCUCGACUUGUCACAAAAAGGUUUUCGACAAGUUCAAGGUGUUGACUACAAUGAGAUUUUCUCAACUGUAGCGAUGCUUAAGUCUGUCCGAAUCAUGUUAGCAAUUGCCACAUUUUAUGAAAUCUAGCAAAUGGAUGUCAAAACUGCAUUCCUUAAUGGAUUUAUUAAAGAAGAGUUGUAUAUGAUGCAACCAGAAGGUUUUGUCAAUCCUAAAGAUGCUAACAAAGUGUGCAAGCUCUAGCAAUCCAUCAAUGGACUGGUGCAAGCAUCUCGGAGUUGGAAUAUACGCUUUGAUGAGUUGAUCAAAGCAUAUGGUUUUAUGCAGACCUUUGGAAAGGCCUGUAUUUACAAGAAAGUGAGUGGGAGCACUAUAGCCUUUCUGAUAAGUAUAUGUGAAUGACAUAUUGUUGAUCGGAAAUAAUGUAGAAUUUUCUGGAAAGCAUAAAGGAGUGUUUUAAAGGAUUUUUUCAAAGAAAGACCUCAGUAAAGCUACUUACAUAUUGAGCAUCAAGAUCUAUUGAGAUAGAUCAAGACGCUUGAUAAGAUUUUCAAUUAGUACAUACCUUGACAAGAUUUUGAAGUAGUUCAAAAUGGAACAGUCAAAGAAAGAGUUCUUGCCUAUGUUGCAAAGGUGUGAAAUUGAGUAAGACUCAAAUCCCGACCACGGCAGAAAAUAGAAAAGAGAAUGAAAGUCAUUCCCUAUGCCUCAGUCAUAGGUUCUAUAAAGUAUGCUAUGCUGUGAACCAGACCUAUUGUAUAUCUUGCUUUGUGUUUGGCAUAGGAAUACAAUUUUGAUCUAAUAGUAGAUCACUGGACAGCGGUCAAGAAUAUCCUUAGUGAGGACUAAGGAAAUACUUCUCGAUUAUGGAGGUGAUAAAAGAGCCCGUCAUAAAAAGUUACAUCGGUGCAAGCUUUUACACCGAUCCGGAUGACUCUAAGUCUCAAUCUGGAUACAUAUUGAAAGUGGGAGCAAUUAGCUAGAGUAGAUCCAUGCAGAGCAUUGUAGACAUAGAAUAUUUGCAAAAUACAUACGGCUCUGUAUGUGACAGACCCGUUGACUAAACUUCUCUCACGAGCAAAACAUGAUCAUACCUUAGUACUCUUUGGGUGUUAAUCACAUAGCGAUGUGAACUAGAUUAUUGACUCUAGUAAACCCUUUGGGUGUUGGUCACAUGACGAUGUGAACUAUGGGUGUUAAUCAUAUACAGAUAUGAAUAUUGAUGUUAAAUCACAAGGCGAUGUGAACUAGAUUAUUGACUCUAGUGCAAGUGGGAGACUGAAGGAAAUAUACCCUAGAGGAAAUAAUAAAGUUAUUAUUUAUUUCCUUAUAUCAUGAUAAAUGUUUAUUAUUCAUGCUAGAAUCGUAUUAACCGGAAACAUAAUACAUGUGUGAAUACAUAGACAAACAUAGUGUCACUAGUAUGCCUCUACUUGACUAGCUCGUGAAUCAAAGAUGGUUAAGUUUCCUAGCCAUGGACAAAAGAGUUGUCAUUUGAUUAACGGGAUCACAUCAUUAGGAGAAUGAUGUGAUUGACUUGACCCAUUCCGUUAGCCUAGCACUUGAUCGUUUAGUAUAUUGCUAUUGCUUUCUUCAUGACUUAUACAUGUUCAUGUAACUAUGAGAUUAUGCAACUCCCGUUUACCGGAGGAACACUUUGGGUGCUACCAAACGUCACAACGUGGGUGAUUAUAAAGGAGUACUACAGGUGUCUCCAAAGGUACGUGUUGGGUUGGCGUAUUUCGAGAUUAGGUUUUGUCACUCCGAUUGUUGGAGAGGUAUCUCUGGGCCCUCUCGGUAAUGCACAUCACUAUAAGCCUUGCAAGCAAUGUGACUAAUGAGUUAGUUGCGAGAUGAUGUAUUACGUAACGAGUAAAGAGACUUGCCGGUAACGAGAUUGAACUAGGUAUUAGAUACCGACGAUCGAAUCUCGGGCAAGUAACAUGCAGAUGACAAAGGGAACAACGUAUGUUGUUAUGCGGUUUGACCGAUAAAGAUCUUCGUAGAAUAUGUAGGAGCCAAUAUGGGCAUCCAGGUUCUGCUAUUGGUUAUUGACCAAGAAUAGUUCUAGGUCAUGUCUACAUAGUUCUCGAACCCGAAGGGUCCGCACGCUUAAGGUUUCGAUGGCAGUUAUAUUAUGAGUUUAUGAGUUUUUAUGUACCGAAGGAGUUCGGAGUCCCGGAUGAGAUCGGGGACAUGACGAGAAGUCUCGAAAUGGUCGAGACGUAAACAUCGAUAUAUUGGACGACUAUAUUUGGAGUUCGGAAAGGUUUCGAGUGAUUCGGGUAUUUUUCGGAGUACCGGAGAGUUACGGGAAUUCGCCGGGGAGUAUAUGGACCUUAUUGGGCCAUACAGGAAUAGAGGAGAGAGGCCAAAAGGAAGGAGGCCUGCGCACCCCCUCUGGUCCGAAUUGGACAAGGGCGCAGCCCCCCUUUCCUUCUUCCUCUCCCCCUCUUUCCCCUUCUCCUACUCCAACAAGGGAGGUGGAAUUCUACUAGGACUAGGGAGUCCUAGUAGGACUCCACACUUGGCGCGCCCCCUCCUAGGGCCGGCCUCCUCCACCCUUGCUCCUUUAUAUACGGGGGCAGGGGGCACCCCAUGACACACAAGUUGAUCUACGUGAUCGUUCCUUAGCCGUGUGCCGUGCCCCCCUCCACCAUAUUCCACCUCGGUCAUAUCGUCGUGGAGUUUAGGCGAAGCCCUGCGCCGGUAGAACAUCAUCAUCAUCACCACGCCGUCGUGCUGACGGAACUCAUCCCCGACACUUUGCUGGAUCGGAGUCCGGGGAUCGUCAUCGAGCUGAACGUGCUGAACUCGGAGGUGUCGUACGUUCGGUACUUGGAUCGGUCGGAUCGUGAAGACGUACGACUACAUCAACCGUGUUGCCAUAACACUUCCGCUUAUGGUCUACAAGGGUACGUGGACAUUACUCUCCCCUCUCGUUGCUAUGCAUCACCAUGAUCUUGCGUGUGCGUAGGAAAUUUUUUGAAAUUACUACGUUUCCCAAUAGAGGAUGGGUUUUGAAGACCAUGAAAGUAUGGAAACCAAAAAAAUUAUCCUAAGUACCCAAUAUGGUGUGGAUUUCCAAGUAAAGCUGUACAAUGCUGAGAGUGUAAUCCAUUUUGGUUGCAAAAAUUGGAAAGCACUUUGCAAGAUGUAUGGUUUUGAUGAGGGUAUGCUUGUCACCAUGGAUCUUGGUGAUCCUACAAUCGAGUAAGAGAGACCUUCGAUUUGGGUCCUUGUGGAUACACCUCCAAUUCUUUCCCCAUGUGAGCUUAACAUAGUUAUUAAGUAAUUUAUAUUGUUUAUUUCAAAAUAGUUGACAUCUUAUUUCCAUUAACAGAUUAUUUUCAUUCUUCAAAGAAUGUGUGGAAGAUGGUAGACAAAACCCACUACACCGAUGGCUCCGAAUUAACUUAUAGGGUGAAAAAUCAUCUGAUCGCAUUUUGUACUGAUCUUGAGAAUUACAAUGUCUAUAAUCGAACUCCUCAACAUUAUGGUCAAUACGUGCCACUAGUGCAUGUGUUGAACUACGGUAACUACCAUGGAGAUACCCUGGUAAGAGUUUUUACUAUUACGACAUCCGUGCAUCUUUUUGCACACUUCUAAAACUAGUACAUCAUUGCUAACUACGAAGUUAUUACUACUUUUUCAACAGAUAAUCCCGAAUGAUUGUGUGCCUCAUCUGAUGUAUACGCACGGUACCCUUCAUGUUUUGAACAUACAACCAGGUCUUCCUACGAAUCUGAACUGUCCAUACCGGGUUUCUAAAAGAAGUGGAGACAUGACAAUCAAAGAAUGGAAAAAAUGUAUGGACAGUCGUAAGGAGCUUCUUGGAAGCAAAAGGCAGCGAAGCGCAAGAAUUGGAGACAGGAUGAUCUCCAUUCUUCAUAAUGGAGAGUCAGGGUCUAUAUUAUUUUAUGCUAUUUUACCUUAAUGGUGUUUAGGUCCUACCUGAUACUGAUAAUCAUGUGCUAAGAACAAUUAUGUAGGGUUGGGUUCGAUGACUAUGAGAAUGAUGAUCGUAUGACUUAUUAUUAAUAACGAGUAGAAGUUGUAUGAUGAUGCAUGAUUAGUAGGACUUGUUAUUAUAUAUGAUGAUGUAUGAUGCGAGCAUGCAUGAGUUAUUAUAUCAGCGGGUGAAAUGAACAUAACAGCAGCAUUGGUAAACCAAGGACGAAGAUAUAAGAGAGGACACUUCUCUCUAUUAGCUAGCUAAUAACAACCUAAAAAUAACCCCCAAACCCCCUAAAGCAGCCACUUUUUAAAAAAAAACAUCGACUUUUGGUCCCGGUUGAUGCCACCAACCGGGACCAAAGGCCCCCCUGCCUGGGCUCGACGCACCGGCCACGUGGAGGCACAUCUGUCCCGGUUUGUGUUUGAACCGGGACUAAAGGGGGAGGUAUUAGUAACGACCCAUUAGUCCCGGUUCAUGAACCGGGACUAAAGGCCCUUACAAACCGGGACAAAUUCCCCCUUUUCUACUAGUGUACUAACCAGAAUUGAAGCAUCGAGAUUCCCCUCCAUGCCAUUGGCUGCCAGAGUGGUAGUUAGAGGGGCUGUGAUUCCAUGUGCUCUUUGGUGAAGUCUGGAGGGGAGAAUUUGCCCCGGCCUCCAAGGAAUAGAGGAGGAAAAGCUAAACACGUUCUUUGUUUUCUUUGAUCAUUUGCUCUUCUUUAAUUUACCAUCUUAAUGAUUUUCCCUUUUUACUUGCUUUAAAUUAUUUUCAUGUUGUUGGUUGGAUAAUGAUCAAUAUUUUGAUCUAGUUUGUUGGAGGUGAUAACAGAUUAAACAGAAUAUUAUCUAGAUCAUGAGUGUUCAUCCCAUUUUCUUCGAGAAUUAACGAACUAGUUAAUCUUCAUCUAUAAUCAAUUGGAUAGGAUUAAGGGUACAGGUAUGCAUGUAACCACCCAAUGCACACACACAUGCAUGUUCGAGUUGAGAAGUUUGGGGCUGAGGAGAGCUACCGAACAGGCCCUAAGUAGAUGCUCUCCUUUGAGAACCACCAUUCAUCUCAUGUUCAACCCCACCCCGUCAUUGCUUCUCGGUUUCUUUGUGGAAUCCUUUUCCCUAUUGAAGGGCACAUCUCCUGGCAAUCCACUUCUGAGCCCAGGCUCAGCUGCACCCGCCCUGACAAAAAAAAUCAAAACAAAUACUAGGAAAAAUCAAAAAAAAUUGUGUGGUACAUAAUUUGAUGCGUGAGGUCCGCUCUAGUUUUAAAAUCAUUUGGACAUAUGAGCAGCUCUCGGCAAAAAAGACAAAUUCGGGGUCUGUAAAAAUGUUUAUUGUUCAUGCAUUGUUUUGACCUAAUUUGUCUUUUUUGCUGAGAGCUUCUCAGAAGUCCAAAUGAUCUAAAAUUUGGAGCGAACCUCACGUGAUAAAUUGUCUACCAUACAAAAAAUUGGAAUUUUUUGAAUUUUUAUUUUAUUUUUUGUGAUUUGUUUUUUGGGCGGGUGCAGAUGAGUCUGGGCACCGAAACACCGCACGCCACAUCUCCUCUUCAUCCUACUAUUUCAAGAGGAAUUAAUUAAAUGCACCAGGACAUGAAACUGUUUGUCAUCACCCCAAAAACUUGAUAAGCUGUGAGAAAAAAAAUCUCCGACCAAAAGCCACCAAGCAAAACCUUGUCCAACAAGGAUAUCAAAGAAGAGUGCGACCACACACGAAAUCAUUCAAUAGCUAGGAACAAAUACGCUCUCUAUAACAACAAAAAAGUCAUCGAGGAUGUAAAGUGAAGGUAUUUUAACAUCGAAGUAUCUUCAAACUGGAUGCAUGAGAAAAUAUCUCUCAAGUAAAAUAUUGUUUGACGACGUAAAAAGGUAUGACAUAAGAUAAUGAAAAAAAAAUUAUCUCCAUAAAUCUUGGAAUAGAUGUGAUCUAUUUUUCUUGCAACAAAAUGUGACAAACAUGACCCCAAGAUUUAUCUCGAUAAAUCAAUCUUGGAAUAUAAUGUUUUUUUAGAAAUAACCACAUAUAUUUCAUUAGAAAAACAUAUUACAAAGACAUGUGGUCAUCAAAGAAGACACACAUAGAUGUCUUGCAAUAUUGCAUCAAAGACUUCACAAGAACUAAAACUAUAAUUUCACUUCGGCAGAAUCUUGUGCCACGCCCAAACGUCGCCCACCAUCGUCCUCCUUCGCCGCUGAGGUAACGUCGAAGAAAGAGGGGAACCGCCUUCAUACCAAGAUCUAGAGGAGCACCUUUGCAUACAAUGGUGUUUUUCGAGCCGAUGAACCCGACCGUCGCAAGCGACGAGACCGAGAUUUUGUGACAUGUCGUCCGGGGUUCUUCCUCGUGUCCGCUAGAUCCCAGCGUUGUCCACUUCAUUCGACUAGGUCGAAGAAGAUGAAUGCCGCUGCAUUCCAUCAUCCACGCACCCCACUGCAAGACACCAAACACAACCGCAACAGUCGGCACCAAGGCCACCCAAGAGAGAGUGAAGCGCCGACCAUCAGACACAAAUGUUACAAGAUCUGAAGACCGGCAAGAAGACCGAGCCACCUGCUCCCCAGCGUCGUCCAUUAGAGCGCCAUCGGAUAAAGGUAGAGCGGAAGCAAAUUAUUUUGACGCGGCGCCGUCCACACCAUUGAUGCAACAUCUCUGAAAACAAACUAUGCCUAUCCUAUAUCCCUACCUGACAGAAACUGUUGUGACCUAUUUGUCUUGUUAAAAUAGUGGAUCAACUGCACAUGAUGGUAUGUAGCAUGACUCUGCACAGAUAGCUUUCUUAUAAAUUUGAGGCAUAGAGGUUUCGUGGUGUAGUUGGUUAUCAAGACCUUCUAACACACUGAAGGUCUCCGGUUCGAACCCGGGCGAAGCCACUCCGUUUUUUUCUUUUUUUUUCACUGUGUAAAAAAAAGCAAAAAAAACAAGAAAAUAAAAAAGAUGAUGAUGGCCCAUACAGGUCUCCAACCUGUGACCUUCGCGUUAUUAGCACGACGCUCUAACCAGCUGAGCUAAUAGGCCUUUUGUGACAUUUUACAUUUUGUUCCUCAUAUUUCAGAUAGGACUUGUAUAUUAUCAUCCCUUCUCGUUGUAAUAAAUAGAACACGUAAUAGGCCUUUUGGUUCUCUUAAGUUAUUUUAACUUCUAUAUUGCAAAGAACUGAAUAUUAAGUACCUUCGCCAGAAGGGCUAAUGGUCUUUUGCUGUUGGUCUUCUCAUGCUGCGGUUUUCCUCUUCCCUAUGGUUUCAUUUGCAGCAGUAUUUUCUUUUCUUCUGAUUGACGAGUUAUGUAUUAGAUUGUCGAGUUUUGUGGUUUAUAGCGCAGGAUUUUGUUUCUACAAAAGGUAGAUCCCAACAAGACACCAUGGUAUGCGUAUCUUGUAGUCUAUCUGUCUUAUUGAGAAAAUACAUUAAUGUCUCAUGGUGUAGUAGGUUAUCACGUCAGUCUAACACACUACAUGGCGAAGCCAAAUUGUUAUUGUUUUUUCUUUUCUGUAAAACUACAAAAUGCACCAAUAAAUCUUUGUCAUUUGCUAGUUUCCCAUUUCAGUACCUAUGUUUGUAAGUAUUCUUCCCUCUUGGAAUCUCCAUUUUGCCACUGUUUCUCACUUUCUGUGAUGUGAUGUGUGCGCAAAUAUUCCCACAACAACUAAACAAUAAUAAAGCCAUAUACGCAAGCGAUCGAAUAAUGGCAACUUUAUAUUACCACUCAAGGCACAUCUCCAAACCGACCUGUCUGUCCAUAGUUGCGUCUCAACACUCGGGGCAGAAGGCUCGCUCUCAACCACUGCUUCAUAUCACCAGGAUCCACACGGCCAAAUAGUGUCCUCCAUUUUCGAAGUGAUGACAGUAUAUCUCGUGGGAAAAUUGUUUCCACAGUUCAAUAUCCCUCCCUUUGAUGAAAAAAAAUUACACUCAGCUUCUGCAUCACAGGAUGCAUAACGAAAAUUGUUUUGUUCGUUCUGUGCUGGAACACUAUAUCUUGUGUAAAAUAAAUGUUUCAACAAUAUCGACAUUCCCUCCCAUAAAAUAAAAUCAUCAAUAGCUCACUUCUCUAUAUACCUGGAUGGUAAGUAAUGGCCGGUGUGAGCACCCAAGACGGCACGCCAAUUAUCACCACUACGUAGACAAGUCACUAUAUGCACCCAAUUAUGCAAGAAAAAUAAUAUAAGUCAAGAACUGUCUGGACGCAGAUGGAGCUUUCUACAGAUGGGGACAAGAAUUUGGCACCACCCACUCAGUUUACCUCUCACCUUUUUGCAUUGCUUUCAUAUGUAAAAAAUAGUGAGUGGAUUUGCGAUCUGCCUUAAAAUGACAAGAUGGGGGUUGUGGGUUUUAAAAACUUCCAAAUGCAUUCUUUAUGUUCACAUGUUUAUUUAUUUUGUAUUUGUUUGUGCAUGUCAUAAAAAUUAUAAAUUUCCACAAGCAUACAUAAUAUUCAAUGAUCUACAUCGACAAUAGGGUUUGAGAUUUUUCAAAGCAUGACAAAAAAAUCAAAUGAGGUCGGCUGGAAAUUAAAGAUAUGUUCGGAGAUCCAAACAAUUAUGAUCUCUUUGAUACAAACUUCAAAGGAAUCAUUAUAGAAAAAUAGGAGAUUAUAAUUGUUAGAUUAUUUUCCUACGGGACUAGUUGGGCUGGAAACCAUAACAAUAUUUUCUAUUGCCUACUUGACAUGUAUUUGUAAGGAAAAUUAUGUCGAGCCAAAUCUUCUGAAAAUAAUUUCGUUGGUUCAAUGACAACUAUAUGCUUGCACCUAAUGCUUUAGAAAAUUCUUGAAUUUUUCCCUCUUGCGAUAAAUCAACAUCCAUAUUUUACGCAUUGCACUAUCUUCAGUUCUCAUAAGAUUCAACAUAGCAUGACACGAAAUAUGUAUGUUAAUUUUUCUGGUUCCUAUCUUUUUAAAAUGCCGCAAAAGGAUGUGGCAUGUAAUCUUCAAAAAAUAGUGGGAUUGUGAUAGUUAUUGAAAUGCAUGUAGGACGGAGACUAAACUUUCAGUAAAAUUCAACUUAUAAUACUAAAACUGGAAAAGUUGCCAAAACCUACGGCAACCAAGAGCUGCCAAGAUUUCUUAAAUAAAAAACCUUUGCGCGACAUUCCCCUAAGAAGACAUAAAUGUUUCCUUGUCUUGACAUUCAAAAACACUGAGUGAGGGUUCUCGGCCGAAUUUCACUAAGAACUUGCAUAAAAGAGAGCUGUCUAUUAUUAUUAUUAUUUUCUAGGGUUUCAGAAUCUAGUUGGAUAUUGCUUUAAUUUGGAAUUCAUAAUUUGCCGAGAAACAGCACUAUAAAGUAAAGCAUUCCUAAACUUGACCNNNNNNNNNNNNNNNNNNNNNNNNNNNNNNNNNNNNNNNNNNNNNNNNNNNNNNNNNNNNNNNNNNNNNNNNNNNNNNNNNNNNNNNNNNNNNNNNNNNNNNNNNNNNNNNNNNNNNNNNNNNNNNNNNNNNNNNNNNNNNNNNNNNNNNNNNNNNNNNNNNNNNNNNNNNNNNNNNNNNNNNNNNNNNNNNNNNNNNNNNNNNNNNNNNNNNNNNNNNNNNNNNNNNNNNNNNNNNNNNNNNNNNNNNNNNNNNNNNNNNNNNNNNNNNNNNNNNNNNNNNNNNNNNNNNNNNNNNNNNNNNNNNNNNNNNNNNNNNNNNNNNNNNNNNNNNNNNNNNNNNNNNNNNNNNNNNNNNNNNNNNNNNNNNNNNNNNNNNNNNNNNNNNNNNNNNNNNNNNNNNNNNNNNNNNNNNNNNNNNNNNNNNNNNNNNNNNNNNNNNNNNNNNNNNNNNNNNNNNNNNNNNNNNNNNNNNNNNNNNNNNNNNNNNNNNNNNNNNNNNNNNNNNNNNNNNNNNNNNNNNNNNNNNNNNNNNNNNNNNNNNNNNNNNNNNNNNNNNNNNNNNNNNNNNNNNNNNAAUUUAGGUUUUUAUAAACUUGGUCAAACAUAGAAACAUUUGAAGAAAAAAAGUAGAGCUUAUAUUUUGAAAAUGGGAUUUAGUAAGUACACCAAUAAUUCGAUAUACCCACAAAAUGCUGGCUUUAGUUCCUUUCAUGGUUCCUUUGUUGUAAGAAAGAAGCUAGUAGACACAAAGGGAAUCAAAUCAUGGGAGGAGGCGGCCCUAUCCUUAUUCCUCUUCCCCACGCGGUUGCUCCCGUCCAUCCUUUGCCAAAGGUGCAGCAUCUCGCAUUUCCUUCUUCAUCUUCUCUUUCUCCUCCUUCCUUGAUGCUCACUCGCCUAUAAAUAGCCCUCGCUGCCUGCCAUUGUUACUCAAGCCAGCAAGCAAGAAGCACAGAAGAAGCUCCUAGCCAACACCAAUCAAAGCUUCCAUCCAAUCCCAAGCAACCUCGACGAUGUCUUGCUGCGGAGGAAACUGCGGCUGCGGCAGCGCCUGCAAGUGCGGCAACGGCUGCGGCGGCUGCAACAUGUACCCGGAGGCCGAGGCCGCCGGCGCCACCCUCCUCGUCUCCGCCACCGCCACCCACAAGGCGUACGUCCCUUCUCUUCUCCUCAGCUCAUACAUCAUCAUGCACUCGAUCGUAAUAGAGAGAAUAUGACUGUAUGUUGAUCUUGGUAUGGAUGGGGUACGUGCAGGAGCUCCAGCGGCAUGGAGAUGGCGGCGGAGAACGGCGGCUGCGGCUGCACCCAGUGCAAGUGCGGCACCAGCUGCGGCUGCUCCUGCUGCAGUUGCUAGAUCCAUCAUCGGUCAUGCAUGCACCGCGUGCAUCAUAUCUUUGAUCGAUCCAUCCAUCUACUUACCAUGUAACGCUACCUGAUCGAGGGUCUUUGUAUGUAUGUACGCACCUGCCUGCAUGAGCAGAGCAGGUGCCAUGCCAUGCAUGUAAACCCCUAAAUAAAAUCUCCCGUGGUUUAACCUAUAUAAAUGCGUUUGUGUUAUAGACCAGCUUCUGGCCCACGUUUACUAUCAACUUGCAAGGUGCCUGGGUUGUUAAUAGACCAGCUGAAUGAGCUUCAGGUGCUACAUUCGUGAAAAGGACUCGUGGUUUAUAACGCAUAUUGUAGCCUAGUAGCCACAUAUCAGCUGCGCUCAAUAUGCAGGAUUUCCAUUGGAUCAGAUCUUUCGCUUUGACGAAUUUGGACCUAGCGAAAAGGAUUCUUAAGCCUUCGCGCAAACAAGCAAAGUAGAAGCAAGACGAGGAAGUGGAGCUGUCGUAGAAGCAGUAGCUUCCCCCGACAAUAUACAAUACAACAGUAGCGACCAUGAAUAAAAAAGCCCCUUGUUUAACGAGUUCGCUGCUUUUCCCAGGCCGGAGAAGGGCAACUACUUAUUGAUUGAUCGCCUUUCUUUGAUAUGUGUUCAAUUUAGUAUAAUACAAACUACAACUAGAUCAAAGCGGAAGGGCCACUCACUAUAGAAGCUAUAACUAGAAAAGCCCUAGCCAAUAGUUUAGUAGUCGGCCAAACCCCCAUGCUCACGACAUGUUCUUGAUAUUGAUUGAGUUGGAGAGAGUCAGAGACUACCACGGAAUCCUUCCAUAGUCACCCCGGUGACCUUCGUCACCAAAGCGUCACAACAGUUUCCAAGACCCCUCAUAUAAUCUCCAGUGGGGAUCAGUCGGAGCACAUAAGAAUGCCGACCACUACAUAAGCCGCUGGCGGAGAAAGCUCGAAGAGCUUCCCUUCAUUCGCUUCGCGGGAGUCGCACACAGCACAUAGCUGGAAGUCAGAGGGCCCGUACUACCUGCCUAACCCUUCGCUCUGAGGGACCGUAGAACGGAAAGCGCCUUCUAAACAACUCGGCAGAAGGGAAGGGGCCUAUGUAUUUGCAUGACCCCUGCGGAUUUGACCCUACCUACACCCGGAGCCAACCCCCUAGCGGUCCUGCCACCACGCCGCAGAACAGGAGCUCGUGUGGAACCUUGGAUUUCUGGCAUAACAGCGAUGGAAGGUAUCAAAAUAUUACGGCCGCAUAACCAUAACAUAGUAUAUACGCUAAGGUCGGCCAAAAUAUGGACACCCGAAGGGCCCGGCGUGCACAAUCCUAUCCUAUCCGAGCCCGUCAUUGCAUGCACUUCGGACAGCCGUCCGUAGCAUCAUAAGGAGCACCUCCCUUUCGAGGUACCCAAAUGGAACGGUCUUUAUUUGUGUUGUUGGUUGGUCUUUCUCAAUGUGGUCUAUAGCACGAAUAACCAUUCUUUACAAGAUAGGGCCGUUCACAUGAAAGAAAAUACAAAAUCCAUUCUUCAUGGUCGGACGCAUUUCUCCAAAUCCUCCAGGAUCACAAGUGGAAUGCUAAGCAAGGGUGGGGAGGCUGCGAGCUCUGCGUCGAAUAGAAAGAAGCAAGCGGGGGUGUUGCCGUAGCGCGCCGGAGAGCAAGCGUAGGCAACCAAACUAAAUAAGGCUACAAAAGUAGCUAGCUAGCGUUUUUAAGCUGGCUGCCUUUUCUAGCGCGCGUACUCUUCUGUGGAGUCGCAAGGAACGAGCCUUGUCUUCCCUCCAACGACUAGCUCCCUUUUCUUAUUUCGGUCACCCUUCUCUUGUCGUGGAAGGACUUUUGCUUGUGGUGUGGUCCAACCCGUGGACGGAGUCGUCCUCAUCCCCCCAUUGCUCAGUGCUCCCUGCAGCUUCGCUGGGCUUUACCCGCGUGGGCGCGGGCUUCUAUAAGAGAAUGAAAAGCUCUCUUUUUACAAUAAAAUGCGAACCACACGGAGCCCACCCUUUUUCGUUUUUUGCCGCCACUGGGUGGCCACAGGGGAAACACAUCCCGGCCGCCUCUCAGGAAAGGGGGGUGGGCCUACCUAUCCCGAGGGAGCAGCUGAGAGGUUCAAUAUGCCGAGCCGAAGGGCAGAACUUCAAUGCGUGAUCAUAGUAUGUCACCUCGUCUCGUCCUCGCAGCAUCGAAGAGUACCUAUGCACUAUGUUCGGUUCACUGAUAAGGAAGAUAGAGUUGGGGUGGGGGUCUACGAUGUGAUACUAUAGUAUGCCCCGGGGAGAAAGAUGCGCAACUCAAAACGGAAGCAGGAAGCGUGUUGUCAAAAAUGUUGGAGGUUACCAGAUCUCCGAGACUACCAUUGAUCCGACAGAGCGGAACGACCAGAAAAAGAAGUGGAGUUAGAAAGCCGUAUGAUAGGUGGUAACUAUCUUGUACGGUUCGGGGGGUAAGCGGCGUACUCUGGGGGAAUAUUAGGCUCUAUCGACCAUACAGGGAAUUGGAGGUAGCAUUUUACUUAUGUUAAGUCAUGGACUAGUUUCUUCAGCCCUUUUUCUAUGUGUUGGUGUUCUAUAUGACCGACAUAAACUCGACUUGUGAGAUAUUAUGGAGGUUUAGUGAGCACCAUGCCAAAUUUCUCUACCAUUUUCUUAUUUUUCACUUUAGCCAAUAUGAGUUUACCUGGCACUAGCAGCUUUAUCGGGGAAUUUCUAAUCUUAGUAGGAGCUUUCCAAAGAAAUUGCUUAGUAGCCACAUUUGCUGCGCUUGGGAUGAUUUUAGGCGCGACAUAUUCCCUUUGGCUAUAUAAUCGUGUGGUUUCUAGAAAUUUAAAACCCGAUUUCCUCUAUAAAUUCUCUGAUCUAAUUGGUAGAGAAGUUUCCAUAUUUCUACCUUUUCUUGUUGGAGGGGCGACCGUCCGUUGAACUACCAAAAAAGGGUAAACCAAUGUGAUCAUGACAUUGUAGGAGCUUGCGAUGGGACGGAUGUGACUUCCCUCAUAAGUAAUGGGUGGCAUAGCUCGUAGCAGAAGUCCCCUUUUUUAUCCAUUUCUUUAUUACCCCAGAGGGGCCCAGCCUUGCGGGACCGAGAGAAAGAAAGGACGGGGGGCGACCAUGCAUGGCACUUCUCGACCGUGUCUCCGAGGAAUAGUUGAACGAGCGACUCAUGAAAGCUACCGGGUCGGACGAGCCAAUAACUCGAACGUGUUCAGUCAGUUUUUUGAGCAAGAAUCACAGUGUUACCUUACCUUCACCAUGAUACGGACUCCAAGUUCUUAUGGCAGAGCACGAGGAGUUUCCUUCAAUAUGAUGAUGAGAAUGGAAACCAGAAGCACGACUGGGUCUUCAUAGUCCGAGAUCAUACUUAUAUAUCAGUCACAGUAAUGUAAGCAUGAAAAUUUUUGGUAGUACCGGUGAACCAGAUGGCCGCAGCGAGGGAAUCUGGGAUGGAGGACUCGUAAUAUCUCUAUAGAUCUAGCAAAAGCGAAAGACCCUAACAUCAGGGGCUGACCAAUGAGCUCACUCAGGCCCCGCUGGGCGGUCCAAAGUGGGUGCGAGCUGGAAUUGCCAUAGCUUAUGGUUAGAGCAAUAGGAAAGGGCCCUACAGAGAGAACAGUCGGGAUAACGAGCGUGGAGCCCACUUGGCAGGCAGCAGGAGCAGCGGGCAAGUGCUUGCUUGGUAGGCUAACAGCCCUGUGAAUCGGGCGGGGCACUCGACGAAAGGGGGGCAUGCUGAGCAAGUACGCAAAAUUGGCCCUGUGGAGCUUUCAAAAAGAAAAGCAAGGACCACUACGGGAGGUCGAACCACGGACCGGAGGUAGUAGAACGUGAUCCGCACCGGUCAAUAUUGGAUCAAACAAUAGGGGACCAUAGCACUGACCCUUUUUUCAAGACAAUAGGUAUUGUUCCCUACCAAGACAAGGGACACUCUCAACGGAUCCUCCACGCGCUGGGCAUACCAUAGUUCUUCCGUUCGUCUUUAUCAUGGCGGAAACAGAACAAGAGGGAAAGACCCGGCCGACUCGCCAAGGGCUCGAGGGCGAGCCAUACGUGAGUGAGUCGAAUUCUGUUUACGUACUCGGUUUGGGUUCGGGCCCCUCUCGAUCUUUUGCGUAUAAGGGAAGGGGGAAGGAGUCUAAAUCUAUGGACAUUAAUGAACCACCAUUGAUGGACGUUGCACAUGACACAAGAAAUUUGACUCGACGAUCCGGUGCUAAUAGAAGUCGCUUACUCUCCGCCUAGCGAAGGUGCCAGAUCCUUAAAAUAAAGUAUCUAUCAGCCUAGUGUACCAACCACGUGGUACGACGGGCACUCAAAGACCUGACGAAUGAGGGGCCACCCCACCUAAGAGUGCUUAUGUCAUAUGGGAACUCUCGGCUGGAAACAAUCCUUAUGGUUUUUAUAUCCGGUUAGAAUAAUAAGAAAGAAUCAAAGUCCAUGUUGGUUGGUGAGCCUAGUGAUAGGAGACUAUCUAGCUUGGUUCAGAGAGCACUUGUUGGGUUUCAAAUUCAUUUUUUGCUAAAUGUUACGGCCUAAAUGUUGAACUAUUGACCCUACUUGUUCGGAUGGGUGUUCACCCCAAAGUGUUCCCGGACUGCAUGCAUACAUCCGUAAGUAACUUAGUGCAACAUGGCAAAUUUCAUUGAGUAGAAUCAGCAAACAAAAUAAAUCUUCUCCGGGUGACAGGGCCGCCUCGUUAAUAGACCAUGCAUAUUGUCGAGUUUUGUGUUUUAUAGCGCAAGAUUUUGUUUUUACAAAAGGUGGAUUCCAACAAGACACGAUGGUAUGCGUAUCUUGUAGUCUAUCUGUCUUCUUGAGAAAAUACAUUAAUGUCUCGUGGUGUAGUAGGUUAUCACGUCAGUCUAACACACUACAUGGCGAAGCCAAAUUGUUAUUGUUUUUUUUCCUGCAAAACUACAAAAUGCACCAAUAAAUCUUUGUCAUUUGCUAGUUUCCCAUUCUCGCGACUCUUAAUAUGAAGCCCAUGAAGACAUUAAAGAUAGCGGUGGACAGCUAAGGGCCUAAGGCCCAAGGGCGACUUAGGGCCCGUAGGUAUAAACCGCCAUAUAUGUAAAACGUGUAUUGUAAGGCAUGUAAAGAUAGUCACUGAGUCGGACACGUUGUCUAUGAGCCAUCCGGGACUCUAUGAUCCGCUGGGCGUCGACCUGUCUAUAUAAAGGGACGACCCGACGGCGGUUCAGGACAAGAAACAAGAGAUCGAAAGCUAGGUCAAGCAGAUUUGCUCCCUGAUAAUCGAGACAUAAAAAAUACCACCCAAAACUGGAUUAUAGGCUUUUACCUUCACCACAAGGGGCCGAACUAGUAUAAACCCUGUGUCCUUUGUCCUAUUUAACCCCUUUAAGCUAACCUAGAGGCGAUGGCUCCACGACUAAGUCCUUUCACGAGGACAUUUGUCGUGACUAUUCCACGACAGCUCUCCUCCCGAUGAGCACGUGCAGGUGUCUGAUCGCAUGCCUUCGGUAAUCAAAUAGCUACCCCACAUGGCACCUCCUAGCCAAUAAAAAAAGGAACGCGUGGUGGCACGUAAUUGGUAAGUAGAACGCCCACGGUUUCAAUAAUAGUUGUGUUUCCGAUUUGUAACGUGACAACACUUGUUCCAAAAUGACUUUGUUGAUUUUUAAUGUGUGCGUCUUCGCAAAUCGGACAGAAAAAUUACCACAGCAUGUUGGUGCCAUGUCAUGACACCAUGCCAAGUUUCAUGAUUUUCAGGCAUGUUUUGGACACCAUGCCAAGUUUCAUGAUUUUCAGACGUGAUUUUCAAGCAUGUUUUGGACACCAUGCCAAGUUUCAUGAUUAACCGCAGAAUGUUGGUGUCAUCAUGACACCAUGCCAAGUUUCAUGAUUUUCAGACGUGUUUUGGAUUUACAUCAAUUAAAAAACCAAGUUUCUCAAUCUUUCCGGCCGAGCCAUGACGCCCAGAUGUUUGAAUUUCAUUCUCAUUUCUUGCACGGGACUUAGAAAUUCACCCAAGAACACACAUGUGAUUUUUCAACCAACUUUGGUGCACUGGAGCAUGUGCUUGUAGUUCAAAUUUGAAUUAUGCAUAUUAAAUGCCCGGAAAUUCAACUAAUGUAUAAAAGAGUCCAAAUGAAUCCAGAAUAAUUCCACAAUUUUGCAUGAUACUUCUAUUUGGUCUAAUAUGCCCGUGUAAAAAAAUUAAGGUGGGAGAAGACAGUGUACGUAUGUCGUUUCGCACACGGAGGUGACACGUUCCCUCUCGGAACCACGAGCCUUCUUGAGAGAAGCUCCAGUUUGCAAGAAGCUUAUACCAAAGCUUGUCCCAAUUCGGCCAAAAAAAUAAUCGCAACAUGUUGGUGCCAUGUCAUGACACCAUGCCAAGUUUCAUGAUUUUUAGGUGUGUUUUGGAUUUACAUGAAUUAAAAAACCAAGUUUCUCAAAAUUUCCAGCCGAGCCACGACGCCCAGAUGUUUGAAUUUCAUUCUCAUUUCUCGCAUGGGACCUAUAAAUUCACCCAAGGACACACAUGUGAUUUUUUUCAACCAACUUUGGUGCACUAGAGCAUGUGCAUGUAGCUUAAAUUUGAAUUAUGCACAUUAAAUGACCAAAAAUUCAAUUAAUGUAUAAAAAAGGUCAAACAAACCCGGAAUAAUUCCAAAAUUUAGCACGAUACUUAUAUUUGGUCUAAUCUGCCUGUGUAAAUAAAUUAAGGCGGAGGAAGGCAGUGUACGUAUGUCGUUUCGCACAUGGAGGUGACACGUUCCUCUCGGAACCACAAGCCCUGUUGAGAGAACCUCCGGUUUGCAAGAGGCUUAUACCAAAGCUUGUCCCAAUUCGGCCAAAAAAUUUACCGCAGAAUGUUGGUGUCAUCAUGACACCAUGCCAAGUUUCAUGAUUUUCAGACGUCUUUUAGAUUUACAUCAAUUAAAAAACCAAGUUUCUCAAUCUUUCCGGCCGAGCCAUGACACCCAGAUGUUUGAAUUUCAUUCUCAUUUCUUGCACGGGACCUAGAAAUUCACCCAAGAACACACAUGUGAUUUUUCAACCAACUUUGGUGCAUUGGAGCAUGUGCUUGUAGUUCAAAUUUGAAUUAUGCAUAUUAAAUGACCAUAAAUUCAAUUAAAGUAUAAGAAAGUCCAAACGAACCCGAAAUAAUUCCAAAUUUUAACACGGCACUAAAAUAGUUCUAUGUUGCCUCUGUAAAAAAAUAAGGGGGCGGGAGGCAGCAUAUAUCGUUUCGAACACAAAGGUGACAUGUCCCCCCCCCCUCGGGAACCACGAGUCUUCUCGAGAGAAGCUCCGGUUUGCAAGAAGCUUAUACCAAAAACUUGUCCAAAUGCAGCCAAUUGUUUUACCUCAACAUGUUGGUGCCAUGAAAUGACACCAUGCUAUGUUUCGUGAUUUUCAUGUGAGUUUUGAAUUUCCAGGAAUUUAAAAAUCAAGUUUCUCAAUGUUCCUGACCGAGCCACGACGCCCAGAUAUUUGAAUUUCAUUCCCAUUUCUUGCAUGGGGCCUAUAAAUUCAGCCAAAGACACACAUGUGAUUUUUCAACAAAUUUUGGUGCACUGGAGCAUGUGCUUGUACUUCAAAUUUGAAUUAUGCACAUUAAACGUCAAGAAACUCAAUUAAUCCAUAAAAAUGCCAAACAAAGCCGGAAUAAUUCCAAAUUUAAACAUGACAAUCAUGUAGUUGCAUGUUCACUGUACAUAAAUGUUCUAGCAAUUCAAACACCAUCCCUUCCCUCCAUAACACUGAUAACCCACAAGUGUAGGGGAUCGCAACAGUUUUCGAUAAGUAAGAGUGUCGAACCCAACGAGGAGCUAAAGGUAGAAUAAAUAUUCCCUCAAGUUCUAUCGACCACCGAUACAACUCUACGCACGCUUGACGUUUGCUUUACCUAGAACAAGUAUGAAACUACAAGUACUUUGUAGGUGUGAUAGGAUAGGUUUGCAAGAUGAUAAAGAACACGUAAAUAAAAAGUAGGGGCUGUUUAGAUAAAGAUGCAAUAAAGUAAAUAUAGCGAGUGUGGAAAAGUGGUGGUAGGAGUUGUGGAAUUGUCCCUAACCAAUUGACUAUGUUACUAGACCGGUAAUCACUAUUGCAAUUCUAUUUGAGGGAGAGGCAUAAGCUAACAUACUUUCUCUACUUGGAUCAUAUGCACUUAUGAUUGGAACUCUAGCAAGCAUCCGCAACUACUAAAGAUUCAUUAAGGUAAAACCCAACCAUAGCAUUAAAGCAUCAAGUCCCCUUUUAUCCCAUAUGUAAACAACCUACUUACUCGGGUUUGUGCUUCUGUUCACUCAUGCCACCCACCAUAAGCAAAUCAUAAACAUAUUGCAAACCCUACAGCGGGAAUCCCUCACGCUUGCGCGACACGGAGGGCACCAUAGGACAGCACCAAUAAUAAAACAUGCAACUCAAACCAAUCAUAGCAAUUCAUCAAUCACCGAUAGGACAACGAAAAUCUACUCAGACAUCAUAGGAUGGCAACACAUCAUUGGAAAAUAAUAUGAAGCAUAAAGCACCAUGUUCAAGUAGAGAGUACAGCGGGAUGCGGGAGAGUGGACCGCUGAAUAUAGACGGGGGAAGGUGAUGGAGAUGUUGGUGAAGACGGCGGAGGUGUUGAUGUAGAUCGCGGUGAUGAUGAUGGCCCCCGGCAGCGUUCCGGUGCCACCGGAAGCAAGGGGGAGAGGGCCCCCUUUCUUCUUAUUCUUCCUUGACCUCCUCCCUAGAUGGGAGAAGGGUUUCCCCUCUGGUCCUUGGCUCCCAUGGCGUGGGAGGGGCGAGAGCCCCUCCGAGAUUGGAUCUAUCUCUCUGUUUCUGCGUUCUCUGAUUCUACCCCUUCACCGUUUCCUUUAUAUCUGGAGAUCCGUAACUCCGAUUGGGGUGAAUCUUUUGCUCAGAUUUUUCUCGUAAAAUUAGCUUUCUUGCGGCAAAAGUAGAGCAUCAACCAUCUUACGGGUGGCCCACGAGAGCCCAGGGCGCGCCCAGGGGUAGGGGGCGCGCCCCCUGUCUCGUGGCCACCUCGGACACUGUUUCGCGUUGAUUCUUCCUCCGGAAAAUCCAAAUUUUACAAAAUAAUUCUCCGUCCUUUUUAUCCCGUUUGGACUCCGUUUGAUAUUGGUUUUCUGCGAAACAUAAAACAUGCAACAAACAGGAACUGGCACUGGGCACUGGAUCAAUAUGUUAGUCCCAAAAAUAGUAUAAAAAGUUGCCAAAAAUAUAUGAAAGUUGAAGAAUAUUGGCAUGGAACAAUCAAAAAUUAUAGAUACGACGGAGACGUAUCAGCAUCCCCAAGCUUAAUUCCUACUCGUCCUCGAGUAGGUAAAUGAUAAAAAAAAUUGAUGUGGAAUGCUACCUAGCAUAAUCUUGAUCAUAUGUCUAAUCAUGGCAUGAAUAUUAAGAUACGAGUGAUUCAAUGCAAUAGUCUAUCGUUUGACAUAAAAACAAUAAUACUUCAAGCAUGCCAACCAAACAAUUAUGUCUUAUCGAAAUAACAUAGCCAAAGAAAGCUCAUCCCUACAAAAUCAUAUAGUCUGGCUAUGCUCCAUCUUCGUCACACAAAAUACUACCAUCAUGCACAACCCCGAUGACGAGCCGAGCAAUUGGUUCAUACUUUUUAAAGCGCUUCAGCUUUUUCAACUCUUACGCAAUACAUGAGCGCAAGCCAUGGACAUAGCACUAUGGUGGUAUAUGGUGGUGGUUGUGAGGACAAAAAAAGGGAGAAGAUAGUCUCACAUCAACUAGGCGUAUCAAUGGGCUAUGGAGAUGCCCGUCAAUAGAUAUCAAUGUGAGUGAGUAGGGACUGCCAUGCAACGGAUUCACUAGAGCUAUAAAUAUAUGAAAGCUCAGCAAAAGAAACUAAGUGGGUGUGCAUCCAACUUGCUUGCUCACGAAGACCUAGGGCAUUUUGAGGAAGCCCAUCAUUGGAAUAUACAAGCCAAGUUCUAUAAUGAAAAAUUCCCACUAGUAUAUGAAAGUGAAAGCAUAGGAGACUCUCUCUAUGAAGAACAUGGUGCUACUCUGAAGCACAAGUGUGGUAAAAAGAUAGUAACAUUGCCCCUUCUCUCUUUUUCUCUCAUUUUUUUUCAUUUUUUCUUUCUUUUUGGUGGGCUUCUUUGGCCUCUUUUUUUAUUUGGGCUUCUUUGGCCUCUUUUAUUUUUAAUAAAGUCUAGAGUCUCAUCCCGACUUGUGGGGGAAUCAUAGUCUCCUUCAUCCUUUCCUCACUGGAGCAAUGCUCUAAUAAUGAUGAUCAUCACACUUUUAUUUACUUACAACUCAAUAUUACAACUCGAUACUAGAACAAAGAUAUGACUCUAUAUGAAUGCCUUCGGCGGUGUACCGGGAUGUGCAAUGGUCUAGCAUAGCAACGACAUCAAAAAAACGGACAAGCCAUGAAAACAUCAUGCUAGCUAUCUUACGAUCAUGCAAAGCAAUAUGACAAUGAAUUCUCAAGUCAUGUAUAUGAUGAUGAUGGAAGUUGCAUGGCAAUAUAUCUUGGAAUGGCUAUGGACAUGCCAUAAUAGGUAGGUAUGGUGGCUGUUUUGAGGAAGGUAAAUAAUGAGUUCAUGAUACCGGCGAAAUUUGCUCGGCACAAUAGAGGCUAGCAAAGUGGAAGGGUGAGUGUGUGUAUAUCCAUGGACUCACAUUAGUCAUAAAGAACUCAUAUACUUAUUGCAAAAGUCUACUUAGCCCUCGAAGCAAAGUACUACUACGCAUGCCCCUAGGGGGAUAGAUUGGUAGGAAAAGACCAUCGCUCGUCCCCGACUGCCACUCAUAAGGAAAGCAAUCAAACAGCACAUCAUGCUCCAACUUCAUUACAUAAUGGUUCACCAUACGUGCAUGCUACGGGACUUGCAAACCUCCACACAAGUAUUUCUCAAUUUCACAAUUACUCAACUAGCACGACUCUAAUAUCACCACCUUUAUAUCACAAAACUAUUGCAAGGAAUCAAACAUAUCAUAUUCAGCGAUCUACAAGUUUAUGUAGGAUUUUAUAACUAACCAUGUGAAUGACCAAUUCCCGCCAUCUCUCUAAAAAGAUAUAAGUGAAGCAAGAGAGUUUAAUUCUUUCUACAAAAGAUAUGCCCACGCUCUAACAAAUAUAAAUGAAGCAAAAGAGCAUUCUACAAAUGGCGGUUUUCUAUGUGAAGAGAAACAGGCAAUCCAAACUUCAAACGAUAUACGUGAAGCACAUGAAGCAUCCACUACUAGGGAAAAGCCUAGCAGCAGCGCGGGUUUUAGGCCUAUCAGUAGCGUGGGCAGGAGCGCUACUGAUAAGGCGCUACAGCUAAAGCUUAGCAAUAGCGUGCCUAGACCCACGCUACUGCUAAAUUGACUUAGUAGUAGCGCUUCUCCAGAAGAGCGCUACUGGUAAUUAGUAGUAGCGCUUCUCCUUGCCCGCACUACUACUAUUAUUUAGUAUUUUAUUUCUUUUUUAUUUCAUGUUGUAUUCAUACACCUUUACACAAGUUUUCAUACAACAGGAAUUUAGAGAUUGUUUUUACAUCAUAAUGAGUUAUUACAUCACGGGGUGAAAGAACCAUGGACUAGUUUCAAGUGGAUGUCCAUCCACUUGAAACUAAUCCGCGGUUCUUUCACCCAAUGAUAUAAUAAUAUCAUCAUCAUCAUCAUAUCAUUAACAACUUAUCAUCAUAAUACAUCAUUGUCAUAUAACACCUCCUCAAGAUCAACUUAGCAAAUUGGUCACUAGUCGUAAUCACAAGUACUCCUCAUUAUCAACUCUAACACAUUACCACAUAAUAAACAUAUUGUACCUCAUAGGGCCUACUACAUUCGAUUAAGACCUACUACAUUUUCUAAGGUAAAAUAGCAAAAAAACAAGAUAGCCCCUGACUCUCCAUUAUGGAGAAUGGAGAUUAGCCUGUCUCCAAUUCUUUCCUUUCGCUGAAUGUUACUUCCAAGAACCUCCUUGCGAAUGUCCAUACAUUUCUUCCAUUCUUUGAUGAACAUGUGUUCACCGGUUUUAGAAAUCCGAUAUGCACAGGUGAGCUCCCUAGAUUUACCUGGUAGUAUGUUCAGAACUGUAAGGCGACCAUUCAGAUACAUCAGAUGAGGCACACAAUCCAUCGGGAGUUUCUGUUGAAAAACAUAGUAAUAACUUCAUAGUUAGCAAUGAUGUACUAGUUUUAGAAGUAUGCAAAAGAUGCACGGAUGUCGUAAUAGUAAAAAAUCUUACAAGGGUAUCUCCAGAGAAGUUACCGUGGUUCAACACGUGCACUAGUGGCACGUAUUCACCAUAAUUUGGAGGAGUUCGAUAAUAGUUAUUGUAAUCCUCAAGAAGAGUACAAAAUGCGAUCUGAUGAUUUUUCUCCUUAUAAGUUAAUUCGGAGCCAUCAGUGUAGUGGGUUUUGUCUACCAUCUUCCGCACAGUCUUUGAAGAAUCAAAAUAAGCUGUCAAUGGAAAUAAGUUGUCAACUAUUUUGAAAUAAACAUUAUAAAUUAGUUAAUAACUAUGUUUGAGAAACUCACAUAGCGGUACAAUCGGAAGCAUAUCAACAAGGACCCAAAUGUCCAUAUUGUCUUGCUCGAUGUCAGGAUUACCAAGAUCCAUGGUGACAAUCAUACCCUCAUAAAAACCAUACAUUUUGCAAAGUGCUUCCCAAUUUUGGCAACCAAAAUGGGUUACACUCUGAGCAUUGCACAAAUUUACUUCAAAAUCCAUAUCAUGAUGGGUCCUUAGGUGUAUUUUCUUUGUUUCAAAAUUUUCAUGGUCUUCAAAACCCAUCCUCUCCAAGACAUAGCGUCUUGCAUGGCAUGGGAUAAGCUAGUCAAAUUGUAAAAGAUGAAAAUUAGACGUUGAAAUAGUUGAAGUCAUGCUUAAUUACGAAAAAAAACACUUGUCAUUGUUCCGUACCGUUUCAACAUCGAAGGUCUCCUCGAGCUUAAUGCUGAAGCGCCGAUCUUCAUCCAGCUCAACGAACCUAUCGCACAUACCUCGAUCGUCGUGGCACCAGCUGCACUCCCCCGGGAGACUGUCGUCGUCCGAGUACGACAUUUCCUACGUUCAUAAUUCAAAGAUUAAACUUGUACAUAUUCUAGCACAAGUCGUGCCAGAAUUCACGGAAAAAUCCGGCAUGACCUUUGCGAAAAAAGGACAUAUCGAGCGCCUGAAAUUUGCCGGAACGGAAAUUAAUCAACACUCCGGCAAAACAUAGGCCACUCGGAGGUGUAACCAAAACAUGAAAUAAUUGAUGAAACUAAAAAAUAACAACAAAUAUGACAUGUUCAACUAGUUCUAUUAAUUCAACUAGUUCUUACUAAUUAUAAACUUACUAUAAAUAGAAAGAAACUAGUUCUUUCUAAAAAUAAAGUAGUUCAACUAGUUAUUAAUUUACUUACUAAACUAGUUCAACUAAAACUAAACUAGUUCAACUAAAACUAAACUAGUUCUAUUAAUUCAAUUCGUUCUUACUAAAUAUAAACUUACUAUAAAUAGAAAGAAACUAGUACAUCUACUACUACUAAUUAACAUCUACUACUACAUCUACUACUAAUUAACAUCUACUACUGCUAAUUAUACAACUAGUUUACCAUCACUACUACUAAUUAAUAUCCACUACUACUAAAAAUCAUUAUCUAUGAACCCUAAAUUAACAUCUACUAGUACUAAAAUCAUCUACUAACUAAGCAAAGAGGGAGGGGUAGGGGAGGGGUGGGGGGCUUACAGAGGGAGAGACGGUGGCGGGGAGGUGCUCAGCGACGAAGGUAGGGGCGGCGAGGGUGGGCUCGGGAUCGGGAGGCGGCGGUCCUGGAGUAGGUCGAGAGCGGCGGCGGGCGGCGGCGGUGAGGGUGUGGUCGAGAGCGGCGACAGGCGAGGAGGCGGCGAGGGUGUGGUCGAGAGCGGCGGCGGGCCGCAACGGUCAGGUUGAGUGCGGGCUCGGGCGGCGGCGGUGAGGGCAGGCUCGGGCUCGGGCGGCGGCGACAGGAGUAGGGGAACAGGCCGGGGGGUGAAAGGAGGACUUAGCAAAAAUUUUGAGCUGGGGGUGGUUAAGUCGAACUAGCAGUAGCGCUCAUAAGGAAAAUGCGCUAUAGCUAACUUAUCUAUAGCGUGUUCUAGUGAAAAAUGCUACUGCUAAUGGAAGCAGUUAUUUCUUUUAUUUAUCCCAAUAUCAGUAACGCUUUGUCCUGAAAAAAUGCUCUAAGUCUAAGCAAUGUAAAAACAUCAAAAAUAUACAUUGGUCAUCAUUGAUCUUUUUGUUUAGAAUCUAAAUAGUCAACAUGAAUCCUCACUGUACCUGUAUAGGUACAGGCGAGGAUUCAUAUUGCAGCCACAAAUCAUACACAUAUAGUUCAAUGAAGACCAAGUGCUCGAGAUAGGUUGAGAAGUAACAUAUUUAAGGUGGUAAACACCUUGUUCUCCUAGCAGUAUGGGACUAAACUUAAUUAGUUGCGGUGAUACUUAGCAGUAGCGAGUUUUGAUGAAAAACGCUGCUACUAAGUACUUUAGCAGUAGCGCGUCCCUUGGAAGGGCGCUACUACUAUAUCUAGCCUGGAGGCAACACCGUGGCAAUUAUAGUAGUAGCGCUCGUUUCACCUAGAGCGCUACUGCUAAUUAUAUAUUAGUAGCGCUCUUUACUGAAGCUUGCUACUGCUAAUUAGCAGUAGCGUCUGUUUUUAAACCACACUGCUGCUAAGAUUCUGUGUAUAAGGUUUUCCCUAGUAGUGAUUCUAUAAAGCCAUACUCAAAAGAUUUAAAUGAAGUGCAAUGAGAAUUCUAUAAAUCAACCAGGGACUAUCUCAUACCAGCAUGGUGCAUAAAACAAAAGUGAAAACUAAAUGCAAAAGACGCUCCAAAACUUGCACAUAAUGCAUGAACGAAAUGAAUCCGAAAACAUACCGAUACUUGUUGAAGAAAGAGGGGAUGCCUUCCGGGGCAUCCCCGAGCUUAGACGCUUGAGUCUCCUUGAAUAUUUACUUGGGGUGCCUUGGGCAUCCCCAAGCUUGAUCUCUUGCCUCUCUUCCUUUUCCUCAUAUCGAAACCUCCUCGAUUAGACACUUCAUCCACACAAAACUUCAACGAAAAACUCGGUAAGAUCCGUUAGUAUAAUAAAGCAAAUCACUACUCUAAGUACUGUUGCAAACCAAUUCAUAUUUUUUUUUUGCAUUGUGUCUACUGUAAUAUAACUUUUCCAUGGCUUAAUCCACUAAUAUAAAUUGAUAGUUUCAUCAAAACAAGCAAACUAUGCAUCAAAACAGAAUCUGUCAAAAAUAGAACAUUCUGUAGCAAUCUGAACAUUCACCAUACUUCUGUUACCCCAAAAAUUCUACCAAAAUUAGGAAAACUAAACAAGUUGUACAGCAAGACAGUGCAAAAGGAGUCAGAACCGUUUGACUUUCCAGUUAGAAAUGUAAAAUCGCACACUACAGCCAAAGAUUCUGUCCUGCACCAUACAAACCAACAAGCAUUGUAAACAUCCUAAAGGCAAACCUUGGCACAUUACUUUUAUAAUACAAUGGAAUUGUACAAGGGGAUAAUUAUUUUUGAUGGAAAGUUUCUGUAAUCAAGAUUCACAAAGUUUCCGUGAGCAUGAACAAAGUUCAAGGAGCUCUCCCACAUCAACAAUGCUUAUCUCUCUCACUUUCACUUUCCUUUUUGAAAAUUUUUUAGGUUCCCCUCUUUAUUAUUUUUUUGUUUUUAAACUAUAUGAAAGCACUCAACAGAAAUAAAUGACUCUCUAAAACUUCCGGGUUGUCUCCCUGGCAGCGCUUUCUUUAAAGCCAUUAAGGUAGGCAUAUAGUGCUCAAGUAAUGAAUCCACCCGGAUCCCAAGGUAUAUCAAAGCCAAUUUUAAUUAACAAUGAUUUGUAAUUUAGUAGUGAGCACAAAGUAUUAUAUAUCAAGCAACAACGAAGUCUAACUCUCUUCCUAUGCAUCGGCAUGUCAUAAAAGAACAAUUCAUGCACACAUAAUAAAGGCCAACGCAUAGUAUAAGUAGUUUCUUGCAAUUUCAUAGUAUGGGAAACAUAGAGAGGUGGAUAAAUAGUUCCUCUCUCAUAAUAAUUGCAAGUAGGAGCAGCAAGCACAUGCAUAUUACAUUCAUCAAAAUCAUCAUGUGCAAUGGUAAAAGGCAACCCAUCAAUAUAAUCCUUAAUAAGCAUAAACUUCUCCGAUAUAGUGUAGUAGGGAGAAUUCAGAAAGAUAAUAGGACUAUCAUGCGUGGGUGCAAUAGCAACAAUUUCAUGUUUAACAUAAGGAACUAUAGCAAGUUCAUCUCCAUAAGCAUAAUUCAUAUUGGCAUCUCGGCCACAAGCAUAGCAAGCAUCAUCAAAAAGGGAUAUUUCAAACAAAUUCAAGGGAUCAUAGCAAUCAUCAUAGAAUCAUCCUUCAGUAAGCACGAAGGGGAAUUAAAUAAUGUAUGAGUUGGAGGGUUACUCUCAUUAGAAGCUGGGCACGGGUAGCUAAUCCGCUCUUCCUCCUUUUGUUCUUCGCUCUCCUCAUCAUCUUUUUCCAAUGAGCUCACAGUUUCAUGAAUUUCUUCUUCCAUAGCUUCCUGCAAAAUAUUAGUCUCUUCUUGGACAGCAGGGUAGGCCUCAAUAUAUAGUUUAACAUAGGCAUUAGAAGCAUAAUUAUCAUAGCAAUAUUCAAGUAUGGCAAAAUUUUCAGAUUUGUAGAGAGUAGCAUCAUAUUUUUCAAUCAAAGAAGCAAUUUCAUAUGCACCCUUAAAAGCAACAAAUUCUUCAAUUUGUUGAACAUCAUAGUAAUUAUAAACACCCUUAGCAUAUGAAUAUACGAUUCCAUUAUCACUAAACAAGAAUUGUUAGGGAAGGUGUUUCUUAGGGUUUUCAGAACAACAAGUAACAUCAUAUAAUUCACAUAAAGUCCAAGCAUAGCAUUGCAAACAUUAAAUUUGAUCCCAUAAUAGUUUCCCUUUUUCAUAUAUACGGUGUCGCACAUAACAAGCAUGCUCAUCUAAAGAUUUGCCCUCAACUAAGCUAGUUGGGGUUUCAGCACGAGCACAAAGGGAUCGAAGAUGAUCCAAGUAAAAAGCUUCAGUAGUGUGAUAGAUUUUGAGUGGUUCUUCAACCAUUGGUGCAGUAGGUACAACUAAUUUUUUUGGUAUUUUGCGUUUCCUACCCAUAACUAAAGAUAGAAAACAACUAAGAACAGCAAAUAAAAAUUACUUAGUGAUAAAGCAAACAAGCACAAACGAGAAUAUUCACCCCACGCUAUGACUCCCCGGCAACGGCGCCAGAAAAAGGUCUUGAUAACCCACAAGUAUAGGGGAUCGCAACAGUUUUCGAUAAGUAAGAGUGUCGAACCCAACGAGGAGCUAAAGGUAGAAUAAAUAUUCCCUCAAGUUCUAUCGGCCACCGAUACAACUCUACGCACACUUGACGUUCGCUUUAACUAGAACAAGUAUGAAACUAGAAGUACUUUGUAGGUGUGAUAGGAUAGGUUUGCAAGAUGAUAAAUAACACGUAAAUAAAAAGUAGGGGCUGUUUAGAUAAAGAUGCAAUAAAGUAAAUAUAGCGAGUGUGGAAAAGUGGUGGUAGGAGUUGUGGAAUUGUCCCUAACCAAUUGACUAUGUUACUAGACCGGUAAUCACUAUUGCAAUUCUAUUUGAGGGAGAGGCAUAAGCUAACAUACUUUCUCUACUUGGAUCAUAUGCAAUUAUGAUUGGAACUCUAGAAAGCAUCCGCAACUACUAAAGAUUCAUUAAGGUAAAACCCAACCAUAGCAUUAAAGCAUCAAGUCCCCUUUUAUCCCAUACAUAAACAACCUACUUACUCUGGUAUGUGCUUCUGUUCACUCACUCCACCCACCAUAAGCAAAUCAUAAACAUAUUGCAAACCCUACAGCGGGAAUCCCUCACGCUUGCGCGACAUGGAGGGCACCAUAGGAGAGAACCAAUAAUAAAACAUGCAACUCAAACCAAUCAUAGCAAUUCAUCAAUCACCGAUAGGACAACGAAAAUUUACUCAGACACCAUAGGAUGGCAACACAUCAUUGGAAAAUAAUAUGAAGCAUAAAGCACCAUGUUCAAGUAGAGAGUACAGCGGGAUGCGGGAGAGAGGACCGCUGAAUAUAGACGAGGGAAGGUGAUGGACAUGUUGGUGAAGACGGCGGAGGUGUUGGUGUAGAUCGCGGUGAUGAUGAUGGCCCCCGACAGCGUUCCGGCGCCACCGGAAGCAAGGGGGAGAGGGCCCCCCUUCUUCUUAUUCUUCCUUGACCUCCUCCCUAGAUGGGAGAAGGGUUUCCCCUCUGGUCCUUGGCUCCCAUGGCUUGGUAGGGGCGAGAGCCCCUCCGAGAUUGGAUCUAUCUCUCUGUUUCUGCGUUCUUUGAUUCUACCCCUUCACCGUUUCCUUUAUAUCUGGAGAUCCGUAACUCCGAUUGGGGUGAAUCUUUUGCCCAGAUUUUUCUCGUAAAAUUAGCUUUCUUGCGGGUGGCCCAGGAGAGCCCAGGGCGCGCCCAGGGGUAGGGGGCGCGCCCCCCUGUCUCAUGGCCACCUCGGACACUGUUUCGCGUUGAUUCUUCCUCCGGAAAAUCCCAAAUAUUCCAAAAUAAUUCUCCGUCCGUUUUUAUCCCGUUUGGACUCCGUUUGAUAUUGGUUUUCUGCGAAACAUAAAACAUGCAACAAACAGGAACUGGCACUGGGCACUGGAUCAAUAUGUUAGUCCCAAAAAUAGUAUAAAAAGUUGCCAAAAAUAUAUGAAAGUUGAAGAAUAUUGGCAUGGAACAAUCAAAAAUUAUAGAUACGACGGAGACGUAUCAAACACCAUUUUGUCUUUCAAAACAUAAAGAAAAAAGGUAUACCACAAACAGUUUACUAGAAAGAAUCGUGUGGGAUGCAAUAUAAAACAUCUUGGCGCACCGUCUUGUCUGGCUUACGCAGGAAGCUUCGUGGUCUACAGUCCAUCGCUCCCACUUGAACCACACUUGCGCGCAAGUUUCUCGCGGCACCGAGCGAAAAAAAUUUGCCACCGUGGAAAUAUCUAUCUCCCCACCCCCUCCGUCCCACCAAAAGCCACAUUUCCAUUGUUCCACCUUGCUUUCCAAGUUCAAACCUUCACUUCUGCUUACUGGCAGCUCAGCCUCCUCGGCGGCGACCCUUCUUCUUGUAGCGCCACCUCCUUGCCAGCUACCCUUCUUCUUGCAGCUCCGCCUCCUCGUCGGUGACCCUUCUUCUUGCUGCGCGUCCUCCUCACCGCUGACCCUUCUUCUUGCUAUGUAGCCUCGUCGAUAUGGUCAGGUAAUCCACAUCCCACCCACACCAUCCUCCUUCUUUCCCGUCCCACAUGCCCCGACCGACGGCGCGAAACCUUCCGCCGAAAUCACUGUCCCCCUACUCCAACUAAGCACCGCCCACAGCCAUUUUGCAUGCAGUAUAACAUGGAGCUCAGUAGCAUAUGGUAGCGGAGAAGCAAAUUACGGCCGCAGACGCGCACGAGGUUUCUAUGGCUGCCAUGCGUGCCGACCGCCAAAACUUGGAGGAGCACCUUGUCUUCGAGGCCAUCAUCGACACCGCCACGCGGUUGUCCACUUUAAAAUACAGUUUGUGCUGUUUUCUUGAGGCCACCGCCAAUGUCUUCUAGUGAUUUGCCCUCUGUAAUGCUAAUAUGCAAUCUGAUGUUCAGUUUAUAGUUUGGUCCUCUGAAAUGUAAUGUUCAGUUAACAGUUUGGUCCAACAAUUGCUGCAUUUCGUAGAAGUUUUCUCAAGCAUUUUUGUUUUGUUAACUGUCUUAUCUUCUAGUACAUGUUUCUAUUCUGCAAUGUCGGGCUUAGUUAACUAUUUUGAUUCAUUUGGUAUGUUGUCCAUUUAACUGUUUGGUACAGUUCUGCAAUUUGAUUUCCAUUUGCUGUGGGUACAAUUUUGUAUUGUUACGCAUGUGAAAUAAAUUGAAUUUGGCUUUACUCAAUAGAUAUUCUAUUGAUAUUAUGACAACUCUUAGUUAACCUGGUCAAGAUCUUCCUUAUGUGUGUUGCUAGGAAACAAUGGGACACACCGCGGUUUACCAUCGAGGUUUGUUCAAGCAUGGUCCUUUGGCUAAUAGCACAUUAUUGUGGAUUUGCAGGAAUCAUUCUAAUAUUUAGGUUUCUUACAAUUUGGUCUUGCACAUGUAGGUCCUGCUAUCAGAGGCUUGGACCCACUAUUCGACCCAUUUUGCAUAUGAGGAAAUGAGAUGUCUGUGAAUAUAAGUCAAGUUAAGAAACUCAGAAAGAUUGUUAGGAUGAAGAAACUUGCGAAGAAUAACAGCAAGAUCUUUGUUUGCACAAUGAAGAAGACAUCAGUCAAUUAUAGGAUGGUACUAACUCUUUUACCUUGUUUUUACCCCUUGCACCAUCAGUCGACUAUAGGAUGGUACUAACUCUUUUACCUUGUUUGCAUAUCUUUGUUUUCAGAACUUUUCAAAAUAGUUCACCAAUGAUUACCUCUCAAACCACCUGCAUGGUCAAGAGGCGAGGAAGGUAUUCAUUCAACACCCACGAUACAACAUUGAAGUCUUGCUGAAGAGGACGAAGGUUGGACGGGCAAUUAUCCAUAGCCACUGGCCUAAAGUUGCAAGGACAUUCAACAUGACUGAAGUCUCAACUUUGCCUUCCGCUUUUGCACUUUCCCAGAUGAGAUUCAUCUAUCUAUUUACCGUGUAUGAUGCUAUUCCAAAGGUUUUUGAUGUUGCAUGUGUAACUUGGUGCUGUUGUGUAAUGGCAGAACUGAGUGCUGAAGCUAUUUGAUGUAAUUCGAUUAUGAAAUCCUGGUUGCUGUAAUACGGAUAUGAAAUAUCUAGUGUGUUUUAUAAGAAAUAUCAAUUUGAUUAGUACAUGGAUUAUCAGUAAUAGGCUAAUUACCCUGCUUAUUGGGGUUUUCUGUUGCAGACGGUUACUCAGACAACACCAUGGGCGAUGAACUCAAACAACACGCACAGUUUCUAGAAAGUAGGUGUGUUCGGUCAACUAACAAUCACACAUGGCUUCCGGUAGAGAAUUGUUUGCGUUAGGCCACCUUGCACAAAUGUUUCCACACAAAAAACUGUGUGAUAUACAUACGAGCGGAAAUGUUUUUUCUGGGAUUCAUCAUGUGGGAUGUACAUACGAACGGAAACAAUUGGGUUUCGAUGCCCCACCAGAUCGCACACGAACUCAUUUUUCCCCAGCCAGUGUGCCAGGAGGGCCUAUCCCCGACGGUUUCUGGGUCGUAUGGGAAGGACCCCCCCCCCCCAUCGCCCACACNNNNNNNNNNNNNNNNNNNNNNNNNNNNNNNNNNNNNNNNNNNNNNNNNNNNNNNNNNNNNNNNNNNNNNNNNNNNNNNNNNNNNNNNNNNNNNNNNNNNNNNNNNNNNNNNNNNNNNNNNNNNNNNNNNNNNNNNNNNNNNNNNNNNNNNNNNNNNNNNNNNNNNNNNNNNNNNNNNNNNNNNNNNNNNNNNNNNNNNNNNNNNNNNNNNNNNNNNNNNNNNNNNNNNNNNNNNNNNNNNNNNNNNNNNNNNNNNNNNNNNNNNNNNNNNNNNNNNNNNNNNNNNNNNNNNNNNNNNNNNNNNNNNNNNNNNNNNNNNNNNNNNNNNNNNNNNNNNNNNNNNNNNNNNNNNNNNNNNNNNNNNNNNNNNNNNNNNNNNNNNNNNNNNNNNNNNNNNNNNNNNNNNNNNNNNNNNNNNNNNNNNNNNNNNNNNNNNNNNNNNNNNNNNNNUAAAUCCUAAAAGAUUCCCAAACCAUCAGAGGAAUCCACAAAAGUACUUUUUCGCAGCUGCAAGCCUCUGUUCCCGUGAGAUCCCGUCUUGGGGCCUUUUUCGGUGAUCUUUCGGAGGGGGAAUCGAUCACGGAGGGCAUCUACAUCAACUUUGUUGCCCUUCCGAGGAAGCAUGAGUAGUUUACCACAGACCUACGGGUCCAUAGAUAGUAGCUAGAUGGCUUCUUCUCUCUCUUUGAUCGUCAAUACAAUGUUCUCCUUGAUGUUCUUGGAGAUCUAUCCGAUGUAAUCUUAUUUUGCGGUGUAUUUGUCGAGAUCCAAUGAAUUGUGGUUUUAUGAUCACCUUUUCUAUGAAUAUUAUUUGAAUCUUCCCUGAAUUCUUAUAUGCAUGAUUUGAUAUCUUCGUAUUUCUCUUCGAGGUCUGCAUUGUCUUAGUUCGAACAGUAUCACAAAGCCAUUUGCAGAUAUGUGAAAGUAUUUUUCUCUCAAAGAAAGGGAGGGCCCUUAAGAACUGCAGAUAGGGUGUGUCAGGUACAUCCUUGCUGGCAUGGGUAUAAAGAUAGCUUGUUCUAUGGUUAAGUUUAUAGACAUGAUCAUCUGAGCUAGUUCUAGCAAUGAUACGAAAAUAUAGCAGAAUAUGAACACACGCUUGUGGUUUGUGGUGAACUAAAACUACUAGUAGAAUGCCCGUGCGUUGCUACGGGCUUUUGAAAUAUUUUCCUUGAGUUAUGUGAACAUCAUUGAACAUACUCAUCAGAAUACCAGUUGGAAAUAAAUGUUGCCAUAAACAUUUAUCAUAAUUCCAGCCAGUUUGCUUUAUUUUGAGUGUGUUGUUGUUGUGGGAUAUCAUCACUUGCACAUUUUUUGUUGUAUAAAACAUGGUGAAUUUUUGUCCCCUUCCAAUGAUGUCGCCCCAAAAACCCUCUGAAUGGGUUUCUUUUUGAACCCGACAUAAUCCAUCUCCAUCUCUCUCAUAUUCUACAAAAUUAAAUACAUAUAUAGAAGUAUACCUUUUGAGUAUUAUAUCAUGUGCAACAUACUACAAAGAAGAACAAUUAUUUGCAUGCACCUCUUUUGGUUGUGUAAAACUCGUUGAAUUCUUAGCCCCCUCCAUCAUCGUUACAUCAGGGUCUUUGUCAGUCGACAUCUCCGAAGCACAAUCAAAUCCAUCAGUUUUUAUGACCUACAAAGGUAUUCUAAUAUAAACAAAGAUUAGAAUACCUUUUUUAUGAUGGUGGUAUGGAAAAUAUAUAUUCAUUGGACAAAUUCUAGAAAUGAGCAGUUUCUAGUAGAUUGAGUGGCAUCCCAAUUUUAAUAAUUUUAGGCUCACCUCUAAAUCACAUGUUGAUGGUUAUUCUUACGAAUAUCUAUUAUUUAGGGUAUGUGGUAUAUCGCCCUUAAAAUACUAUGUUACAUUUCUCCACGAGCAAAGAACGGAUUUCCCCUUUAUAUAAUGAUAGUCGGUCAUCCGUAAUUUCUUGGAUAUUUUUAAGUAAUUUAUUGAGAAAAUAUUUUAUGCCAUUCUGAAUAUAUAUAUAGUGUACACGUAUAAAUAAAGCUUUAUUUUUAUGAUAUUCCCAUUAUACCCCUCCUAUACAACUUGUUGUCCUCUCCUGCACGGCCGCACUCUAUCCACUCCCUCUCCGCACCACUCACUCUCUUGUUCCCCUCCCUCUCUAGAUCCAUAGACUUCACCGCCGUCGCUCACUCUCCUCUCUCCGCCCUCGCCACCACAACCAACAGAAUCGGUGACCUCAUCUCCCACCCCUCCACCCUUUCAUCCCUCCCCUCUUCUCACCAAAAUUAGUGAAGGGGGGAUCAAGAUACCAGAUGGUUUCCUGAUCCGCCCACAAACCGGCGAACAACAUCACGCCAAGGUCACCAACGCCGUCAUGAAAUGACAGGCUUCUUCCACCUCGACAGACUUGCUCGCGCACCAAGAUAUGAGAGGGGGCCUUCUACUUCCCGCUCGCUCAUCCCCUUUGGUCAAGCCAUGGAUCAACCUUCCUCUACUCUGACCCAUGCCAUGGACCGAGCGCACUUCCCUCCUCAAGGUCAUCUCUUCACCCCUUUCCUCGUGUGGCAUGUUGCACCGCUAACCCUCACCUUAUCUCCCUCCCUUUCCUCCCAUAUCGAGACAUGCAUGUGUUUCUGCUCGGCCGCUUCACCUCACCGCCGCCUUUGUGGCACGUCGGCCGGGAUUCUUCCUCAUGUCCGCUAGAUCCCAGCGUCGUCAAUUUCAUUCGACUAGGUCAAAGAAGAUGAAAGUUGCUGCAUUCCGUCAUCCACGCACCCCACUGCAAGACACCAAACACAACCGCAACAGCCGGCACGAACGCCACCCGAGAGAGAGUGAAGCGCCGACCAUCAGACACAAACCUUACCGGAUCUGAAGACCGGCAAGAAGACCGAGCCACCUGCUCCCCAGCACCGCCCAUUAGAGCGCCAUCGAGAUGGAGGUAGAGCAGAAGCAAAUUAUUUUGACGCGGCGCCGUUCACACCAUUGAUGCAGCACCUCUGGAAAAAAAAAACUAUGCCUAUCCUAUAUCCCUACCUGACAGAAACAGUUGUGACCUAUUUGUCUUGUUAAAAUAGUGGAUCAACAGCACACGAUGGUAUGUAGCAUGACUCUGCACAGAUAGCUUUCUUAUAAAUUUGUGGCAUGGAGGUUUCGUGGUGUAGUUGGUUAUCACGUCAGUCUAAUUUGUGGCAUGGAGGUUUCGUCAUGUAGUUGGUUAUCAUCCCUUCUCGAUGUAAUAGAGAAUGUAAUAGGCCUUUUGGUUCUCUUGAGUUAUUUUAACUUCUAUAUUGGAAAGAACUGAAUAUUAUGUACCUUCGCCAGAAGGGCUAAUGUAGUCCCUGCUAAAGUGAUCCUCCUCCUGCUAGUGAUCAGAGGCCGGUCUUUUGCUGUUGGUCUUCUCAUGCUGCGGUUUUCCUCUUCCUUAUGGUUUCAUUUGCCGCAGUAUUUUCUUUUCUUCUGAUUGCCGAGUUAUGUAGUAUUAGAUUGUCGAGUUUUGUGGUUUACAGCACAGGAUUUUGUUUUUACAAAAGGUGGAUCCCAACAAGACACGAUGGUAUGCACAUCUUAUAGUCUAUCUGUCUUAUUGAGAAAAUACAUUAAUGUCUCGUGGUGUAGUAGGUUAUCACGCCAGUCUAACACACUACAUGAAGAAGCCAAAUUGUUAUUGUUUUUUCUUUUCUGCAAAAUUACAAAAUGCACCAAUAAAUCUUUGUCAUUUGCUAGUUUCCCAUUUCAGUGCCUAUGUUUGUAAGUAUUCUUCCCUCUUGGAAUCUCCGUUUUGCCACUGUUUCUCACUUUCUGUGAUGUGAUGUGUGCGCAAAUAUUCCCACAACAACUAAACAAUAAUAAAGCCAUAUACGCAAGCGACCGAAUAAUGGCAACUUCAUAUUGCCACUCAAGGCGCAUCUCCAAACCGACCUGUCAUGUCCAUAGUUGCGUCUCAACACUCGGGGCAGAAAGGCUCGCUCUCAACCACUGCUUCAUAUCACCGGAUCCACACGGCCAAAUAGUGUCCUCCAUUUUCGAAGUGAUGACAGUAUAUCUCGUGGGAAAAUUGUUUCCACAAUUCGAUAUCCCUCCCGUUGAUGAAAAAAUCACGUUCGGCUUCGGCAUCACAGAAUGCACUUAACGAAAAUUGUUUUCUUCGUUCUGAGCUGGAAUAAUGUAUUCCCUCCCAUAAAAUAAAAUCAUCAAUAGUUCACUUCUCUAUAUACCUGGAUGGAAAGUAAUGGCCAAUGUGGAUCACCCAAGAUGGCACGCCAAGUGUUGUUUAACUCCACUAUGUAGACAAGUCAUUAUAUGCACACAAUUAUGUAAGAAAAAUAAAUAGGUCAAGAACUGUUUGGCCAUAGAUGGAGCUUUCUACAGAUGGGUACAAGAAUUUGGCACCACCCACUCAGUUUACCUCUCACCUUUUUGAUUGCUUUCAUAUGUAAAAAAUAGUGAGUGGAUUUGCGAUCUGCCUUAAAAUGACAAGACGGGGGUUGGGGGUUUUAAAAAAUUCCAAAUGCAUUCUUUAUAUUCACAUGUUUAUUUAUUUUGUAUUUGUUUGUGCAUGUCAUAAAAUCAUAAAUUUGCACAAGCAUGCAUAAUACUCAAUGAUCUACAAUGACAAUAGGCUUUAAGAUUUUUCAAAGCAUGAGAAAAAAAUCAAAUGACGUCAGCUGGAAAUUAAAGAUAUGUUCAGACUUCCAAACAAUUAUGAUCUCUUUGGUCCAAACUUCAAAGGAACCAUUAUUGAAAAUUUGGUGAUUCUAGUUGUUAGAAUAUUUUCCUACGGGACUAGUAGGGCUGGGAACCAUAAUGUUAUUCUAUGGCCAUGUAUUCGUAGGAAAAUUUAUGUCGAGCCAAAUCUUCUGGAAAUAAUUCCGUUAGUUCAAUGACAACUAUGUGCUUGCACCUAAUGUUUUGGAAAGUUCUUGUGUUUUGUUUUCCUUCUGCAGUAAAUCAACAUCCAUAUUUUAUACAUUACUCUAUCUUUAAUUCCCACGGGAUCCAACACAGCAUGGCAUGAAAUAUGUAUGUUAAUUUUUCCAGUUCCCUCUUUUAAAAAUGCCGCAAACAGAUGUGCCAUGUAAUCUUCAAAAAAAAAGUGGGAGUGAGAUAGUUAUUGAAAUGCAUGUAGGCUGGAGACUAAAAUUUCAGUAAAAUUCAGCUUAUAACACUAAAACUGAAAAGGUUGUCAAACCUAUGGCAACCAAGAGCCAGCAAGAUUUUUUAAAGAAAAAAUAUUUUCGGCGACCUCCACCUAAGAAGUCCUAGCUUUUUUCCUUGUCCUGACAUUCAAAAAACACUGAGUGAUGGUUAUCAGCCGAAUAUAUUCACUAAGGGCAUGCACGAAAGAGAGCUAUUUAUUUAUUGCUAAGGUUUCAGAAUUUAGUUUGAUUUUGAUUUAAUUUGAAAUUCAUAAUUUACCGAGAAAUACAACUAUAAAUUCAAGCAUCCCUAAACUAAAUAAAAACGUAUCUAUAUUUGGAAAAAUUUGAUGUUUUUUUAUAAACUUGUUAAAACAUGGAAACAUUUGACAUUUGAAAAAAAAAAUCAGUACAGCUAAUAUUUUGAAAAAGGAAGUUAGUACGUACACCAAUAAUUCGAUAUACCCACAAAAUAUUGGCCGUAGUUCCUUUAGUGGUUCCUUUGAUGUAAGAAACAAGCUAGUAGAGACAAAGGGAAUCAAAUCAUGGGAGGAGGUGGCCCUAUCCUUAUUCCUCUUCCCCACGCGGUUGCUCUCGUCCAUCCUUUACCAAAAGUGCAGCAUCUCUCAUCUCCGUCUUCAUCUUCUCUUCCUCCUCCUUCCUUGAUGCUCACUCGCCUAUAAAUAGCCCUCGCUGCCUGCCAUUGUUACUCAAGCCAGCAAGCAAGAAGCACACAGGAAGCUCCUAGCCAACACCAAUCAAAGCCUCCAUCCAAUCCCAAGCAACCUCGAGGAUGUCUUGCUGCGGAGGAAACUGCGGCUGCGGCAGCGCCUGCAAGUGCGGCAACGGCUGCGGCGGCUGCAACAUGUACCCGGAGGUUGAGGCCGCCGGCGCCACCCUCCUCGUCUCCGCCACCGCCACCCACAAGGCGUACGUCCCUUCUGUUUCCUCAUACAUCAUGCGCCCGCUAUAAU